rnacentral:lncRNA from 1 species
AACCCACAACAUCAUCAUUUUGCAGACAAUUCGUUGCAUAAGCCGCGAGAAGUCGAAGGGAUUGUUUUUUGUAUUAUUCUGUUUUCGACAGACAGAGAGGAUUCACAGGCAAGAUGGUGGACGCAGCGGCCUUGAUCAUCGGUGUCAUCCUGUUCGUGCUCCUCUCACCGGGGCUGCUGUUGCAGAUUCCUGGGGAUGAUCGCCCAAUCGAGUUCACCAACCAGCGGACAAGCAUAGCGUCCAUCGUGGUGCACGCCGUCGUCUUCACGCUGGUCUUCUACCUGUUGCAGCUCCUAUUCCACGUCCAUGGCGGAAUGUAGACCACCCUUGUUGCACAUCCCCAAGGUGUGCUUGUGUCCCUUACAGCCCUCGUUACCUUUGUAAAGUUACUUGAGAACACGGCUUCUUGGAUUCCAAUUCUCGUGCUGUUCCCAUGGCCACAAGUGCUUUUCUCUUUUGCAGCAAUUUGAUCCCUUACCACAGUUACUUUUUUCUUCUAGCUUACAAUGGGUGAUUCGUCAUACUGUGGUACUUCAGAAGUUGCUUUUGUAGCGGAUUUGUAUGCUCGUUUGUUUCUCCCUGAGCAUAGGAGAUUGAGGUUUUGUUUCUUUCUUUGUAGCAGGGAAGUGAAGGAACAGGAAAGCUACCGAGAUAUCUUCUGGAAUUUGGUGACUCGUGUGCUGUUAGUAAGUUGAUGACCUGUAGCUUUGUUCAGCCCACCAGUUUUUAGUGCUUGCGGAUAACGCUGAAGUGGCCAGUCCUGUUGUGUUGAUAUGUAUAUUUGAAUCAUACUAUUUGCAGGACGCUGAAAAAUACUAAGCCCUGCAGCAAUUAUCUUUUAUCUAUUGUUUAUCUUAGUCUCAAGAGUGGGUGUAUGGAUUUUUUGGGGGUCUGCGUUCAUUUUUUGUUUUUUGUUUUUUUAUUUAUUUUUUUGUAAAGAAACCGAUGUAUGAGAAUGGUAUGUUGCAAUAUAAUACGUUUCGCUGUUUACUCUUUGUUUCGAGGGUUUUGGGUAUUACUGGCAACGGAUUCACAUCGUGUGUUGCACGAUUUCAAUGAAGGAGUUGACAGUGCACCAAAUUAGUUAACUUCAUCUUACACUAAAUUUGUACUUUGUCAGACUUUUAGUGUCCUCUCGAAAGGAGCGUUUUGUCUGAUUUCAAGGGUUCUUCACCAGAAUGGUCCCUGAAAAGUACUACUCAACUUGAUGUCGCUUGGUGAUGUUCCCAAAAUACGGGAUGCACGAGAGUCUCGAAAGCUUGAACGUCGUUGAUUACAAUGAGGGAUCGUUGGAAAUAGAAACUGUGUUGGGAUAUGAAUUGUGUGCAGCCACAGAAAAAUCUGGAGGCCUCAGUUUGCGUUUUGUAGAGGUGGCCUAUAAACAAGUGACCAAUUCCAGUGUGAUUUAUUCAUGUAGAAUUAAAUAUGUAGGAAGUAUGGUUCAGAAUAACAAAUUAAAAAAUGAAACUUAUCGCCCUAUUUUAACUGUAGAUUCAAGUUUAUUGCAGUAUCCUUAGUCAUAAAAAUUGUCCCAGCUUCUGAACUGAUUCUAGAUAGUCGGAUUUCACCGCAUAAUCAUGACAGGAAAAUGAAGCGAAGAAGGUAAUUAUAUUGUACCAAUUACAAUUGCGACAUAAAUUUAGAAACGAGAUCAUACGUAUAAUAUUUUAGUGUAAAUCCUCCCCUUUACCACACUCAACAGAUUGAUUAAAAGGAAGAUUUUAUAAAUAUCAUAUCUGCAUGAGAGCCAGUUGUCACGAGGACCACCAUCAUUCUAAGAUUUGUCUCCUCAAUCCUUAGAUGCUUCACAAACCUUGCGGUGAAACGCAUUAUUCUACGGGGAGUGUGCGAGGGACUGAAGGCUGCGAAGCUAGCCACUGAAUUUUGGCUGAGUGGCGCUUUUUUGUAACCUCGCGUCGCACAUGUUGUCCGAGGUUUACAGUGGAGCAUGCAUACACACAAAAUCUAGACAAAGUUACGACCGAUGCAAGUAGAAUGCCGCAACUACCUUUCGAUACGUCAAGCAUGAUUUAAGGAUAGUGGAUCUUAGAUAUGUAUAGUCACCGGUGCAAGUGUGAACCUCCACCUAUUGUUCUUGUAGCUGAGUGUCAAUUGCUUCAAAACAUGCUCUCAAGGCUUGACUGAGUCCGUAUAGAGUGUUAUGGGGCUUGCAUAGGUAAUUGUCCCUCUUUGGAGCUAUAAACUUGGGUGGUUGCUCAAUAUAGACUUAAGCAAAAUACAACCUGCUAUAACUUGAUUGAGCUGGGAGGUGUCGACUUGUGUGAGUUGUCGUGAAAUAUUGUGUUGUUGACAAAGUUUGUCAAAUAAAGCAGAUGUGAAUCUACUACCUCAUUCAGAGCAAAGGCACAGUAAAAGAAGGCUGGUUUGCUUUUCUACUAUUUCUUUAAAUAUUAAAAAAACGUAGAAGGUGUUGGACUUGGCCUUGAGCCAAUAGACCCACAUGUGUUGUGAAUAGUUGUCUACAAAGAGAACAAGAUAUUUGGCACCAACUGGGAUUGAUAUUCAAAAGGGAUUGCAUAAAUCUGCAUGGACGAGCUGAAGAGAUCGUGAGGCUUUUCUGUAGAUAAAUUUUGGAAAUUUUAGUCUAUGUUAUUUACUUAGAAGGCAACUUUUGAAAUUAAGUGCAGCUUUUGGUAAGCAUGGAAUACAUGUCACAAUGUGUGCAGCUGAUAAUGAAGAUAACUUGUUGUGCUUGAUAUGACCAAUACGUAAGUGCCAUAACUUGAGUUUGUCUACCAGAGUCUUGAUGUGUUAUUGAGCUAUAACCGUAGCUCAGUAAGAAGGAUUUAUAGAGACUGAAUAAGUUCAACUGUGGUUGGUAUAAGGCGGUCGACGUUAGAGGCAUGGCGGCGUUUGGCUUGAGCAAAUAUUUUGCCUGUUUCACAGUUAAUGAUUUGACAACAUUUUGAUGCAAAUAUGUGCAUAAAGCCAGAAUCAUAGAUCUUUCCGACUGAGAGCAGAUUAUCGACAAGGGAUGGCGCAUACCAAAAUUUAUCGAUAUAUUUAUUUGAUUUGUAAGUGGAAAUGGAGGCAUAACGCAUGUCGUGUACAUGGUGAUGUUGUCCUCCAAUUGAAUGGACUGUUCGAAUGAGAGGCUCUAGUUUGAAGAAUCUAGGAGUGCGGCUUUUGUUGGCGUGGUUGCCAGGGUCGACUUGGUCCUUGAUUGACACGCCAUUGUGUUGAUGGUAAUGAUGAUCAAACAAAAGAAGGGCGGUUGAGAGGUGGUGGUGGUUGAUGGGGUCUGUGCAAAGAGUUACUACGGACUGCAAGUGCAAUCUCAAAAUGACGGUUUGUUUAUUUGAUGUGGAGAUAAGACUCCUCACCUAGCAAAAAAGAUUCCAAUUCUUGGAGAGUGAGUUGUUUUUGUGGUCAUGAGUAAUUGGACAUAUCCACCAUAUUGAUGUGGAAGGGUGCUAAGCAUGAGAAUCGCAACACUUUGCUAAGACAACUUCGGCUUGUGUGAGCUUAUCUACGAGAUCCUUGAUGGUUCGUAGCAAGUCUUUCAUGUUGCUGUCCAAAGAUAGGCGGAUAUUGAAUAGCCUGUUUAAGAGAUUGUUCUUGCAAGGUUGAUUAGUGGAGGCAAUCAUAGUCUUGAACAUCUUCUAGAGGAAGUGGGAGUCAUGUUCCAUCUUUUAUCUUAGAGAACAAAUUGAAAUGCACAAAGAGGGUGAGAAUUAGUGUGCGUUGCAGGUUGUUGCUUUCUUCUAUGGAUUGUCUAUUGACGAGGCGGGGCUUCUCCUUGACGUAGUGCCACAGACCUUUCCUAAGAACUUUCUCUAUUUUAAAACUCCAGAUACUUUAGUUCUCUUCUACUGUAUGCCUGCACUCAAAAUGAAUCAAGUUUGUGAUGAAACGAUGAGUGAGAGGAGGUAGCUACCUAAAGUUGAUCACCUGUUGUCAACACGGGACGUGAGGGAGGCGUAACAAUAAUUGGUGAGGCUGGCCUUGCUAUCUCUAAGUCAGAGCUCAUGCCGAGAGUGGCACUUUAUAGCAGAGAACCUAAAGAGGUCGCUCUGAUACCAUGAAAAAAAAGUAAUGAGAGAAGGCAGCACCCGGAACUCUUGAUGUUGCUGUGUGGUAACACUUACACAAAUAUAUCACUCUUUUGAGAGUCUCCUGAUAUACCAACUAGGUGUGCUAAUUAUAACUUAACCUAAUCCUACGUCAGCCUAGUUGUGCUUCCACUUGUCACCGGAAGCCAGGUUUAUUCCAACAACUCGUGUGCGCAGUGUAAUGUGUGUUGUCUGUAGUUUCCAAGGUAUGGAGUUAUGAAUUCAUGAACUUUUGAUACCCAGCUUGGGUUCUGAUGCAUCAACAUCAACACAAGACUGAUCGUUCUUGUUUCUUAUCCAGAGCUUGCAAUGUGCGACUGUGUUCGCAGAUUCUGUCGGUGAUAGGUGGUCUGUUGAGGCUCCUCUUUUCGACUCACAUUGAAUACAUAGUACGAGGCUGAACCUCUUCAGGUGAGGGUUUGAAUCUUCUUUAGCAAUGAGUUUUGUGUUCCCAAACAGUUUCCCAAACGCUUUAAAUCCUACACAAAAUGACAUACUAGUCCUGAACUAUGGUGCACUAUUUUCGUUAUUCGCUGGAGUGGUUAUCUUAUUCAAAUACAGGCGCUUCAUCUACAUUAAAUUUCUUUAGCAAUCCGUGCUGGACUUUUACAGUCACUGUUGUUGUCCAUUGUUGGUCGUAUUUUUGUGUUUUUUUUUGCUACGGUGCAGGUCUUAUUCAUGUUGGAGGUUUGUGAUGGUACUAAUCUUCUUACCCUUGUGGUUUUUGAAGGUGGUGGUUUUCUGUCUGUUGUUGCAAGAUCGUGAUGGUGCUAGUCCUCUUCAAUUUUUUGUUGUUGGUUCGUGAUUGUGGUGAUCCUUCUCGCCUUGUUUCUAGUGUGAGAUUAUGUUCUUCCAAGCAAAGGUGAUAGUUGUGAUUGCACUCUUUCUCACAUUCUUGCUAUUUGUGAUGAAGUUCUUUAUGGCAGCGGAGCUAGUUUUUGUAUCAAAUUUCCUUAGUAGUGUAAUAAUGAUGAAUGUUUCUGGGAUGUUGAUGCUUAGUUGGAAAGAUUUGCAGCUGUGUUCUUUUCUGUUGUGGUUUGCCACUCUGUUAUAAUGUAUGUAAAAUUUCUUUUUGCAGAAUUUUUUAUGAAGAGUAUAUUACAAUUUUAGGAUACCACAAUUUAGAUAUUCCUUUUCAAUUUCAAUUUCAUUUUAAUUAUUAUCUAUUAUAAAGGAUGUAGUUGUUGUGUAAAUGACGAGAAAAAAAGAAAAAAAGAAGAAGAAAAAAAAGGGGUUUUUUAGUCUUGCUAACAGAAGUUUGUAAGUUUCAAAGUUUGUUUUGUUUUUAGUCUCUAACUCAAUCUUGUUUCUCUAGUGUUGUUUUUAUUUAUUUAUUUUUGCAUCUAAUGUGUGUGUGUAUAUAUAUAUAUAUAUAUAUAUAUAUAAUAGAUAUUAAAAUCUUAACAUGCAUAUUUUAUACAAACAUAUUUAAGCAAAUGCCUUGGUAUAUUUGUAUAUCGUUUUGGUCAAAAAUUUGGAAGAAAAAUGAAUAAAAAUACUAAUAGAAAACAAGUUUAAAGUAUAAUAUUUACAACACAAUUAGAAGAAAAAUAUAUGAAUCGAAGAUAUUAUAUAUAUAUAUAUAUAUAUAUAUAUAUAUAUUAUUUGAGUGAAAAAGGGAAGUGAAGUCUAUCUAAAGUACAAUAUAUUUUCUAUAACUCAAUACUUGACAUGAAAUACUAAGUCUAUCCAUUUGGUAUUAUUUCUAAAAUUGAUACAUUAAAACUAUACCCAUUAAUUUAAUUAUUUAUUUUACAUUAAAAAAUCUAAAUACAAAAAUUAAAAAAUUGAUUAUAAUAGAACUAAAAUAAGUAAAAUAAAUAUUUAUUUUGAAAAAAGAUAUUACUAAAGUUUCAACUUAGAUUAAAUGGAAAUGAUUAAUAUUUUUAAUUCAUUUAUUAAAAUAUUUUAUAAAUAAAAAUUUUGAUUACUUUUUAUUUUCAUAUGCCAUAUUUUUUUAUUUUAUUUUAUUUUAUUUUUAUCUAUUUGUAUAAAACUAAAUAAAAAAUAUUAAACCAAAACAAUUAAUUUUUUACAUAUAUGUUUAAAAGUUACUCAUAUUUUUUAUAAAUUAGUUUAGUUAAUUUUUUAUGUAAUAUGAAUUAAAUAGUUUUCAUAUUGAUGUUUUUUUUUUUUUUUUUUUUUUUUUUUAUGCACAAAUAAGAAAUUUGAUAAUUUUGGUUUUAUUUAAUUAACAAGUCACAAUAAAACAAAAUGUGACAAUCACAUUUAAAGUCAAAUUUUGUUUCAUUGAAUAUACUACCUAUAUUUUGGCCACUUGCCUUGCAAUUACAUUCUUUUUUAUUUUACAAAAAUACUAAUGAAAAUCCUUGUUACACAUAUUAUACAAAAAAUAUAACAUCCAUUGAUUAAAGAGUGAGAAGGUUUCAAUAAGUAUGUACAUUGGUUUCAAGCUCUAACAUUCCAACCAAAGAUAGUUUAUUCUUUUAUUGUGACAUAUAAGAAAAGAUAAGUUGGAUAAAAGUCACACUUAGACUAGAACCUUCCAACACACUUUACAAAAAAAAUUCAACAAUUACCCAUAUAGCUUUCCUAUCAAUUUAUAAAAUCUCUCUUAACUUGAAGGUCUACAAUAAUUACUUUUGUGAGUUAUAACUUACUUGUAGGAAUUGAAUCCAUUAAUCAUCACAUGGAAGCUAAAAAAAUAAAGCAUACAAAGGAAUAAGAAAUAAAUCAAACAAAGACAUGAUUGUAAGAUUACUAAAUCCUUUAUAUGCAUAUUCUUACAAAAAAAAACUAAAAAAAGCUACCAAGGUGUAACUAUAGUAUAAAUAUUAUAUUCAUCUUAUUAAUUCUAGGCCAUUUUUAAUUCAAUAAUCAACAUCCUAUUAUAUUUUUUCAUAAAAAAUAAUGAAAUCUUGUAUCACAAAAAGAUACAAAUCCAAAAUUAGGCAUGAUGUGUAUCAAUACUUGGACUUCAUCUUGUUUUAUAUCACAAUCCAUUGAUAUUACAUCACUGAAAACAUAAUUAAAGUCUCAUUAUACACAAAUCAAGUACAAUUAUAGAAUUUUAUAUUAGCUACAUAUUACCAAUAAAAGAUGAGAGUACAUGCAUGGCUACGUAGUCUAUAACAAACUAUAUUUACUAUUUAUUUUUAUUUUUAUUUAUUAUAUUAGAUUUUAAGUCUAACCUAUUAAGCAAGCUUCAAUAGAACGUUGUCAUGUUGUGAUACAAUUAUAUGGUGAAAAUAUGACUAAAAAUGAUUUUUAAUUAACACUCUAUUAUAUUAGUUCAAUAAGAAUUCAAAAUAUUUUAAUAAGGCUUUUAUGAUAGUUUCUUAGCCUAUUUUCUUGUCUUAAUAACAAGUAGAUAAAAGGUAGUUAGUAUUUUUACCUUUUAGAAUAUAGAAACUCUUUUACUACCUUAGAAAGACCAUAAAUUGAUAAAAUUAGGAUAGAAGGGGUAAAUGGUUGGUAUGAUUGAUAUUAUGAUCAAGUUCAAAACUUGGCAUUUUAAUAACAGAUAAUCAUUAGGAUAGGUAGGAUUGGACUAAAAAAUCCUUAGGAUAUUGUUAGAGACAUAGUCCGUAGAACCUUCUAGAAGCAAGUCUCUGCAACCUUCUAGAAGCUUCCUAGUUGAUGGAAGUUGCUUGAGAAGCUUCCUAGUUAGUAGAAGAUGUUAGGAACAUAGUCCUUAAAACCUUCUAGAGACAAGUUUCUAGAACCUUCUAGAAGUAAGUCUCUGGAACCUUCUAGAAGCUUCCUAGUUGGUAGAAGUUACUUGAGAAGUUUCCUAAAUAGGAGUAUAUAUUGGAAUCGAGGCUGAAGAGUUCUUUAGUCUCGCCAACACAUCUCUUAGAGCUCUAGCUCACCUCUCUGGUGUUGUUCUUGUAUUCAUCUGAUUAAUCUAGUUCUUGCCAGUUCUUCUUGAACUUCUUGUUAGAUCUCGAGCCUGUAUUUCUGUAUCUGUGACAAUUUCUGUGUCCAUGACAGUUUGUCGAGACUAUACUCACCUCAAAUAUCAGAGCUAGUUUCUUCUUUGUUAGAGUGUGGAUUAUUCCUCUGCUUGAAGGUGCACUAACAUUUUAGAGGUUGCGAAUUAUCCUCCUCUAAACUGAUACUUCUUUUGUUACAAUAUUGGAGUCUUAUUCUUCUUGGAGAGAGUGGAUUAUCCCUUUUCUUGAAGCUCUUAAGGCGAUUUAGAGGUUGCGGAGUACCCUCCUCUAAACCAAUAUUAUCUUCUUGUAGAGUCAUUUCUGUCCUUUUCUUAGAAUGGCCGGAGGCUAAGUCAUUAGUAUGACAAAAAGUUUGGAGUCUAAGUUGGAUGCUAUCAUGAAUGCCCUCGCUAUGUUAUCCCAAAGAAUUGAAGAGAUUGAAGGAAUCGUGGCAAGGCUUCAUAAUGAUGGAGCAUCUCGAAUGGCACAAUCUAGGUUGCACCAGCCUCAAACUUCUGCAUUUGAAGAAACAACUUUGCCUCAGGUUCGACAAGCACCACUGGUUCUAUAACAUAAGAAGCCCCAAGUUAGCCUUCUGGACAAGUUCGAUGGUAUGUGUUCUAUGUUUCGAGGAUUCGUCAAUCAAAUCAGGUUGAUAACAAUUUUACAGCCCGAACACUAUCCAACGGAGGAGUCACGUGUUGAGCUUGUUGGAACCUUACUUACAAGGCAAGCUCUAUCAUGGUUUGUUCCUUUGUUUGAGAAACGAUUGUCCAUACUAAAUAACUUUCAAACCUUUUUGGAGGCAUUUGCGGAAGCAUUUGGUGAACACGACAAGGUUCGAUGGGUUAUAACAAAGAUCCGAUUACUACAACAAGAGAUGCGCUCUACAUCAGUCUAUGCAUUGAAUUUCAGGCAAUUAGUAUGCGACAUCAAUUAGGAUAAAGAAGCAUUGAUGAGUCAAUUCUAUUGGGAUUUAAGGGAUGAUGUGAAGGAUUUACUUUUAACUCUUCCUGAUCCACGAAUGCUCAACGAAGCUAUUAGCUAAGUUGUGAAGUGCGAUAACCACCUAUUUCAAUGUCACCAAGACCAAUGCUUAAGACAACAUAUGGUUUGCCAUGUCCUAACUAUUUUGGGAAGCAGUGUGAAUUCACAUUUAGAGAUAGAAGACAUGCAAAUUGAUGUGGUACGUAUCAAAUCCCUUAUUCUAGAAGAAAAAAAGCGGCGUAUGGAGGAAGGUCUAUGCUUAUAUUGCGGUGAAGAAGGCCACAAAGUUGGAAAUUGCCCAAGAAGUAAAAUCAACACACUAUCAAGACCAGGGGCACGUUUGUUCAUGAAAACGAGGAUGCUUAGCCACAAUAGGAACCGUGCGGCUAGUCAAUGAAAUAUCACAAAACAACCAGGUUCUUUUCUUUCCGCUCAACCUGUCCUUUGUUUUAUAAUCCCUUUAUUUAUUGGCCCUCAAAAAUUGAGAACCUUAGCAUUAUUAGAUUCAAGAGCAUCUGCUUAUUUUUUAGAUGAAGAAUUUGCGAAGCAUCAUAAAAUUUCUUUAGUACAAAAAUCCAAACCUGUUCACGUUGAGGUCAUAGAUGGGCGACCUUUAUUGUCUGGUAGUGUCACUCGUGAAUCAAAACCUACAGAAGUGACGUUUAAGGACUAUAAUAGUUAUAUUAUUUUCAAUAUUAUUAAAAUCCCAUCAAAUCUUAUUAUUCUUGGUCUUUGGUGGUUGGAAAAGCAUAACCCAUCCAUAGAUUGGAGGUUGCGGAAGAUGACCUUUUCCACAAAACCAUCCAAAAACAAGCCUAGUAGAAAACCCCGAAUAGAGAAAUUCUUAUUCAUUAGAGCAAGAGUGUUUGUAAGAUCGUCUAAGGAAGGUACACCGUUUGUCAUUUAUGCGACUUCAACUACCAAAGAGAAGAUCUUGAUAGCAAGUAUACUGGAGCAAUAUAAGGAUUUUGAAGACGUAUUUCAAAAGAAGAAUGUCGACAUGCUACCGGAACACCGACCAUAUGAUUGCGCCAUAGACUUGCAGGAAGGAGCACAACCGUCUUUUGGCCCAAUCUAUAAUCUAUCGCAGACAAAGUUGGCAAAGUUACGAAAGUACAUCGACGAGAAUCUAGCCAAGAACUUCAUCCGUCAUUCAAAAUCGUUAGUUGGGGCACCCAUCUUAUUUGUGAAGAAGAAAGAUGGCUCAUUGCAGAUGUGCAUGGACUAUCGAGGCCUCAAUAAGGUAACAAAGAAGAAUCGUUAUCCGUUAUCCUUGAUUUCGGGUCUCUUGGAAUAACUUGGACGUGCAAGGAUCUUUUCAAAAAUUGAUCUAAGGGGAGCUUACACCCUCGUACGAAUCAAGGAAGGAGAUGAGUGGAAGACAGCGUUCCGUACAAGGUAUGGCCAUUUUGAGUAUAAUGUCGUGCCCUUUGGUCUUACCAAUGUUCCAACGGUCUUCCAACAUAUGAUGAAUGAUAUUUUUUGGGAGCACCUUGACGAUUUUGUUGUCAUCUACUUGGAUGAUAUUUUGAUAUUCUCCAAAAACGAGGAAGAGUAUGAAAAGUACGUUCGUUUGGUCUUAGAGAAACUAUGCGAGCGAGGACUAUAUGCCAAGUUGGAGAAGUAUUUAUUUCAUCAAAUAGAGAUGGAAUUUUUGAGGUUCGUUGCGACUACGGAAGGCUUGAAGAUGGAUCCCAAGAAGGUGGAAGUAAUCGUGUCCUGGGAGGUUCCGAAGACAAUUAAAGACAUAUAAUGCUUUCUUGGUUUUGCCAACUUCUAUCGGAUCUUCAUCAAGAAUUACUCUCAAGUUGUUGCUCCUCUCACUCGGUUGACAUGCAAGGAUAAGCUAGAAUGAAGACCUCUAGCGGAGAAGGCGUUUCAAGACCUGAAGAUGGCAUUUACUACGGCUCCAAUCUUGGUACAUCCAGACUUUACAAAGGCCUUCUAUUUAGAAACUGAUGCUUCGGAUUUUGCUUUGGGAGCUGUACUUUCACAAAUGAGAGAAGACAAGAAGCUCCAUCCGGUUGCAUUCUAUUCUCGAAAGUUCUCUGUUGCUGAAAUCAAUUAUGAGAUCCACGAUAAAGAACUUCUUGCUAUAGUGGAUUCUUUCCAAGAAUGGCGUCACUUUCUUAAAGGAGUUGUACACCCAAUGCCCGUAUACAUGGAUCACAAGAAUUUGGAGUAUUUUGUGUCGACUUGAGUUCUAAAUCGACGUCAAGCUCGGCAGAGUAUGUUGCUAUCUAGGUUCGAUUUUGUUAUCACUUAUCGAUCUAGAAAGCAAUAAGGACUAUCUGAUGCCUUAUCGAAGAGAUCGUAUCUUGUACCAAAGGCUGGAGAAGCAACGUUUGAUCAAUAAUGUAUGAUGUUGUUGAAGCCAAAGCAAUUUCGGCUUUGUAUUACUAUUGUGCCAAUUGAUGCUAACUUCCUGAACCAGGUAUGUGCCAUUACCAUUGAAGAUUCAAUAGCCAUUGAUAUCAAGCAACGUACCAAUGACGAUAAGUUCAAGGUGGAGAAAGAUCUUUUAUACUUUGAGGAAUGGUUGUAUAUUCCAAAAGGACCAGCACGACUCCGAGUUCUUCAAUCUUGCCACGAUUUUUGAGCUGCGAGAUAUUUUGGAUUCAACAAGACCUUGGAGCUUAUUUCUUGAGAUUUUUGGUGGGUCCAAAUAUGGAAGGAUGUGAAAGAUUUUGUUCUCUCCUGCGACAUCUGUUUAAGAUCCAAGAAUCCUCGACAUCGCCUUUAUGGACUUCUACAGCCAUUGCCGAUUCUACGUCGACCAUGGUCUUCAGUUUCCAUGGACUUCAUGACGGACCUGCCAUCAUCAAACUCAUUUGACAACAUCUUUGUCGUGGUAGAUCCGCUUACAAAGAUGGUGCACUUUGUCCCUUACAAGAAGAUAUCGUCUAGUGAAGUCACAGCAAGGCUCUUUCUCAAUAAUGUGUAUCGAUAUCAUGGACUACCAAAUGAUAUCAUAUCAGAUUGAGGAACUCAGUUCGUGUCAAAGUUUUGGAGAUCUCUCUUUGAGUAACUGAAGGUGGAUAUCAAGCUUUGUUCGGAUUUUCAUCCUCAAACUCACGGCCAAACGGAACGGGUGAACCAAGUCUUGGAACAAUACUUAUGAUAUAGCAUCAACUAUCAAGAAGACGAUUGGACUGCAUAUCUAUCGCUAUCCGAGUUUGCAUAUAGCAACACCCUCCAUGCGCCGACUCAAUAUACACCAUUCUUUUCCAACUAUGGGUAUCAUCCAAAGCUUGAUUUAUUGAGUCCGUUAAUAAAUAAAAAUCCAGCAGCUGAAGGAUUUGCGAAGCAACACUUAGAGCUUCAAAUUACGUUGAAGCUUCAAUUAUAAUCUGCUCAAGAAUCCUACAAGGUGUCUACAAAUAGAUUUCAAAAUCAAGCACCUACUUUCAAAAUUGGAGAUAAAGCAUGGCUUCUUCGACGGAAUAUCAAGACCAAGCAACCAUGUGAUAAGUUGGACUAUCAAAGAUUGGGACCAUUUAUCAUCCAAAAGUAAAUCAAUCUAGUGGCGUAUCAUCUAGAAUUAUCGGCUUCUAUGAAGGUACAUCUAGUCUUUCAUGUUUCUCUGUUGGAGCCUUAUCCAGAGUCGUCUUUUCUUGAAAGAGUACAAUGUCCGCCAUCUAGUAUUGAGAUCAAGAACCACGAGGAAUACGAGGUCAAAAAGGUACUGGAUUCACGGCGAAGGUGGGACAAGUUAGAGUAUCUUGUUCAUUGGUGCGGCUACGACAUUAAUGAGUGAAGGUGGGAGCCAACUGAAAAUCUCGCCAAUGCGUCGCAAAAGGUACAGGAGUUUCAUCAACAACAUCCUCAUAAACCUAAGCCGGUUCGACGAUAGCUUCCUUCUGAAGCCUGUUCACCCAAGAAUAUAAGAAAGGGAGAGAGCACCACCAAAAUUCGUAAUUGAUGUAGUUAUUUUCUCCAAGAUAAAGUAGAAUUUUUUCAGUAGCCAUAGUUUGGUCUUCUGAUAUAGAUAGCCAAGAGAUAGAUAUUAUGCCAAUCAGAUUAUCUCAAUCGACUAGCUCACAAAGGCGACCCCGAGAUGAAGAACCGCCUAUACCAUGACGACGAUGGAGGAUAUCAAGUAACCGAUCACUGGUGAUUGUAUUUGAGUUUGAGCGUGCUUAUGAUGGUCAGCCAGAAGGCGUGUUUGCAAGACAAUUUCAUAAUGAGGACACUGAAGUUCAUGCUUGGUCAGAAAUUGAAGACGUGGGUCACUACCAUUGGCUUCAAGGGCCGAUGCACCACUUACCUCGUGAACAACAGUUGGAGUUCAUAGUAGACGUUAUGCGAUAGAUCUUCAUUUUCUUGCGUUGGUACUGAUUAACAACAACAUUACUUCUCAGAGACCUCGAAGCUAAAGGAAGGAGUGAUGUUAGGGACAUAGUCCUUAGAACCUUCUAGAGACAAGUUUCUAAAACCUUCUAGAAACAAGUCUCUAGAACCUUCUAGAAGCUUUCUAGUUGAUAGAAGUUACUUGAGAAGUUUCUUAAAUAGGAAUAUAUAUAUUGGAAUCGAAGCUGAAGAGUUCUUCAGUCUCGACAACACAUCUCUUAGAGCUCUAGCUCACCUCUCUGGUGUUGUUCUUGUAUUCAUUUGAUUAAUCUAGUUCUUGUCAGUUCUUCUUGAACUUCUUAUUAGAUCUCAAGCUUAUAUUUUUGUGUCCGUGACAAUUUUUGUAUCUGUGACAGAUAUAUUAGAUUGAUACUCAGAGGUCGAUUGUUUAUGAAACAGGGUCGAAAUCAGACCUCUAGUCACUAAAAUGAUUGCCUAAGAUAAAUUGGGAGAGCAUUCAAGAUUGGAGAUUAGGAUUUGAGAGCUAGCUUGAAGUUCUUUUUAAAGGCAUAAGGAUUAUUUUUUAAAGAUUUUUGAGGACUUGAUAAUUGUUGUUCAAAGUCAGGGUUUAUAUUAGUGAUUUUGUUUUUAUAUAAUAUAACUAGGGCUAACAAUUUUGGCUAGUUCAUGCAAUUGGUUUAACAUCUAUAGAUCAAAAUUUGAUAUUAUUUGGAUUAUUGAGUGUGCUAAGUGUAUACAAAAUUUUGUGAUAAUCUAAAAAUGUGGUUUAAAGAUAUCUAGUUUUUAGCACAAGAGGGUUUUAGAAGUUGGCAGUUUAGGGUUGGGUAGGAUUUUUGUGAUAUUUGGAGAUCUACCUAUCGAAUCAAGGUAAAAUUAGGCAUAGUAUUGAAAGACUUGAAGAUCAAGUUGUACACCAAUUUUGAGUUAAAUUUAACGACUGGAGAAGGAGAAAUCACUAUUGGAAUUUUUGCUUCACUUUUCAAGUUGGCGGCCAAAAGACAUCAAUGCAGUUUUUGGAGGUUUUUUCACAAUUUGUAAGUUGGAUUGGACUAAAAAUUCUUCAACAUAUAUAAGACUUAUAUUGACAAUUGCAUGCAAAAUUUUAUAUCAAGUGGACAGCCAGAUUAGAAGUUACAGCUUGUUAAAGCUCACUAUUUAGGAUUGGUGCUUAUAAGAAAAAUCUAAAUUGCUAAAAUAUGAAAGUAACAAGAUAAUUGAGGUUUAUGUGUGAUUGAGGCUAUUAAGAAGAGUGUUUUUUUACACUUUUGAAUUGAAAUUUGUAUUAUAUUUUUUUUAUAUGGGUGAAACUUAAUAAGAUUUUUUGGAUGUUUGUGAAAUACAACCUCAUCUUCCACAGCUAGGUGCCUAGUGCAUUCUCAAGCAAGACAACACAUAAUACUACAACAUUUGAUAAAAAUUGAUUAAUUUACAUAAAAUGAGAGAUGCUUUGUAAAAGCCUUUCUUUAAUUUAUAUAGAUUUUAGAGGCCUUGAAGUUAUUGAAGAACAAUUACUUUGAAGACACAACACUUAGCAUCAGCAAGGUUGCACACAAAGAGAGUAUGGAAUAAAAUGUCUCUUACUUCCAAUACCCAUUACUUAUAGGUAGUGGUUUCUAUCCUAAAAGACAACUUCCACUCUUUGACUUUUAUACACGUUGUCGUAUUGUAACACGAGUAUACAGUGAAAAUAAAAAGAAAGGGGAAUUUUAUUAAUAUUCAGUUACCUCGAAUAUUGGGAGCAUCAACCAACUCCAGUACAAAUACUGAGUGGUCAGGUUCAGUCACUCCGUUACAGUCAGCCGGGGCAUACUGAAAUGCUCCAUUCGAUUCCAAUAACGGGAGUCAGCAGGAAGAGAAGGACCAAUUCACACGACGGGUUCGAGGAGCCAAUUGGAUCCAAUUUCGAUAAUCCAAUCCGGGUCCUCUUAUCCAAUAUGAGACCUGAAUUGGCCGGUCAACUCAAUGCAGUCUAAUUACGGGAAAUCCAGGUCUUACUACGAGUCUUAGCCAAUCUGACGCGAGGACCAAUUUGACCCAAUUACGGGAACAUCCAGGUUACUAGGGGCAUCUUUCCCAAUAUAGGACCUGAAUUGGUCGGGCGACUCAAUGUGGUCCCGAUUACGGGGUUCGAUUCUGUUUCAGGCUGUCCUGUUCUCUGUGCCGUUUCAGGGAACGUUGUUUUCGGUAAAUGGAUUUCUUAAAGGUAAAAACGGAGGAGAAAGCUUGAUGGCGAGAGCCAAUUUCGGAUCCAAGCUUGAGGUGGGAGCCAAUUCCGGAUCUAAGACGGAAGAUUGAAGAAAUUCAGAGGAUAAGGUUAGGGGGGGAUAUAGUUUUGAGGAGGAAGGUUUUUUUUCGGGGGAAUCGGGGGGAGCGAGUUUUCAAGCUUUUGCAAGGUUACUAGUUCGGUUUUCAUUGGAGGUUUUUGGAAGAUCAAGGGAAUUAGAGAGAGGAGCUUCAUGCUUUGGGUCGGGGAAGGAAAGACAUAGAAUUUGGAUUUUUCUUCUUCGUAGAGUUUUGGGACGACUGAGGCAAUCGCUGCUGAAGUCAGUGUUGUAAUGGUGAAUCGGGAUUUUUAAAUGAAGUGGGUUUGAAUACUCUUGACUGUUUUGUAAAAUCGAGUUACGUCUGUGAUUGAAGGAUUAAAGGGGUGUCUAUAGGAUUGAGUAUGCGGAGUGAAUGAAAUUUAUUGGGUUAAUCUAACAGGACAGUCAGUGGAUACAAGAUCGUAAGUACAAAGGGGUAUUGAAGAUUAACAGUUUGGGUUGUUCGGGGUUCUCUAUAACGUCUAGAGACCUACCGGCUGGGGCAAAAAAAGGACUUCGACAAGCAGUCGAAGGGCAUCAGUAAAGAUUUACGGUGUAUUCUUGCAGUCGUUUAUAUUCCAGCAGUAAAAAUUGAUAGACUGCUUGACUAUCGGCGGAUCUCCAUACUACCUUCUACAGCCAGACGCCCGGCGCGUUCUCGAGUAGGAAAGCACGUAAUACAACAUAAGUGGUGAAUCCGACGUGAAAGCUUGAGGUAGAAGGUAUUGGAUUUUGGUUGAUUUUAUCUUUAUUUUUAUGGAAAACGAAAAUAAAAAUUUUGAAGGAUUUUUGGGAGAAGUUUCUGGUGGGGAGUCUUCUAAAGGACAAGGUAUGCACAUGGAUCCGUCUAUUGGUAGUUUGUUUCAAGCCUUCUCAUUGUCAAUGCAGCAACAGCAAAGCAAUGAUCGAAAGGAAGCUUUGGCAACCAAAGCAUUGCAAGCAGUGGUCAAUAAAACUGAUCAAUUUGAUGGAAGGAAUAUUUCAAGGUAUUUAAGAUGUUAUGUUCGUGAAAUGGAAUUAAAUCGAAUUUCUGAGAAGAAAAUGGUUGCACUAUUUGGACUUGCCACGAUACCGGAGAUAAGGGACCACAUUACAUCGAUUACGGAUCGUUGUGGGAAUUCAUGGGAGGAUUUUUUACAUGCAUUGAAAGACGAAUAUUUCUUGGAAGAUGCUGAUCGCGUUACUAAGAAGCUGUUUCUAGGAUGGAUUGAACGGCCCAAUAAGAAUUUGCAAGCAACAGAGCUACUAAGGGAAUUUGAGAGGCAGUACUCUCAAUUAUCGAAGGUAGAAAAAUUGACAUUGGAGCCGAACAAAGUUGAUCUAUUUCUUCAAGCUGCUGAUGGAGAAUUGCAAGAGAAAUUAGAAUCCCUUCUUGAAGACAAAGAAGAAGAUGAAGGAUUGACAACGAAGUGGAAGAACGUUGAAGAUGCGGUGGGGUUACUUACAAAAAAAGAAAGGAGGAAGGAUAGGAGCAAUAUUCCGAAAACAGUACAAGCACCCAAAGCUCCAGUACGUACAACACCACCGACAAUGCCUACAGUUCAACCUUCGACAUCCUUGUCAAAGAAAGCAGAUAUGGGUAUGGAAGAAAUUAUACGAGGAAUGCGAGAUCUUCAAAUCAAAUUGGCAAGACUUGAAGAGAAUACUUCUAUAAACAAUUCGAAGAAUGUUUCAAAACAAGGAUAUGUACAAAGAUGCAUUUGGUGUGAUGAUGCUUCACACACUAGAAAAGAUUGCAAUGAAUUUAAUAAUAUGAUACGGCAGAGAAUUAUUUGCUGGAAAGAUGGGAAGAUAGCAUUGAAAGAUAGGGAGGAUCUUCUUCAAACCAAUUUUGGCAAGGGAGGAAUGAGAGCAUUGGUUCAAGAUUACUUAAAAGAGCAUGAAACAGUAGUACGAGAAAGUGCAAGUUAUGGUGCUAGAGUAGAUGAUGAAAUUGGUGGAAGUACGGAAACUAGUGAGUUUUGGGCUUCUGCCGUUUCUACAAUGCAAGAAGGGAAAUUACCUCGAGAAGCGUUAUUGAGAACUGCAGCUACAAUACGAGGAAGAACAGGUUGGGAGGAUCCUAUUGAGUCUCUUUCAGUUCAUGCAUAUAUUGCUAAGAGCCAACAUGAAGCUUUGAUGGAAGAAAAAAGACGAGGAAAUUUUGAUGAUACUAGAGAAGGAAAUUCUUUUAAGAGGCAAACUCGAGGACACAAGGCUCGGGAGGCAGCUUCACAAGAAUUGCCUGUAAAGGAUACCUCAGUAUCAUUGGAAGAAAAAACAACGGAGACAAAAGAUAAGGGCAAAUCAAUUGCUUAUAAGCUACUUUCUGAUAUUGAAGCGGCAACAAAUUUGAAAGGGGUGUUGGAAGAACAUAUAUUAAACGCUAAGGUGGAAUUCACAUUGAAAGAAGUCUUGGGAAUUGCAAAGAAGGAGUUUCAUGAUGUUAUCAUUGAUAGUAUUAAGCGAAAGAGGCAAUUAAUGAGCGAAACUGGAAUGAGUCAUGCUAUUGAUGCAAGAAUAUGUAGAGAUGAAGAAGAGGUUGAUAUUGGUUACAAGCAACCAACAAAUGAAAAGAAUGGGUAUAAUCAGCGAGUACGUUUCGAAGAUUCUAGUGACAAGGAAAUGGAAACUUUGAGCCAUUAUACUCGAAAGCAUUGGGCAAGGGCAACUACUGAGGUAUUGGUGAAGGUAGGAGAUAUAGAAGAACCAAUAGUUGCUUUGGUGGACCAUGGUUCUGAAAUAAAUCUCAUGUCUAAAGAUCUUUAUAAGAAGCAAAAAUGGCCAAUUGAUAUGGAACAUGGAUGGGCAAUACGAGCAGCUAAUAACACACGAGGCGAAUUAUAUGGAGCUUGUCCAGAUGUCAAAAUUCGGAUUGGGGAUGUUGCGACGGAGCAACAUUUCUUCGUUCAAGAUACAACGUCUUAUCCGUUGAUUUUAGGACAACCUUAUAUCACGGCAACACGGAUGGAAACAAAGGUACUUGACGAUGGUUCUGCUUAUGCAAGGGUACAGAGCGAAGAUGGGAGGAAAGCUGUACAAUUUCUAACAGUACCUCCUAACCAUGAACGGAAUCGAGAUAGGUUGAGGGAGAAACCAUUGCCAAAGAUUGUUGAAGGAUUUAAGGAUUUUGGGGAGGUACCACUGUAAAGCGAGAUUAUGGAGGUACAAAAGAGGAGGUACUCUCGCGAGAUGAAGGUACCUUUGAUGCGAGUUUUAUUGGUAUAUUGGAGAAUGGAAAUAUUAUGUAUAAGAAAGUUGAUGAUUUUAAAAGAAAAGAAAGAAAAAGAUUAUAUGAUAUUGAAGGACAGUUACGCAAGAUAGGUACAUUGCAAGAUGAUGAGAGGAUUUUGGAUGUUUAUGAAGAAAAUGGGCUGGAAGAUUCAUUGGAAUUGAUUACAUCUAUUGGAUUAGGGAAUAAUGAUAAGAUUGUUGAGAUUCAUUCGAGAGAGGUUUAUACCAUGCUUGAAUCUUUUCAAGCACCAGAAGUCACAGUAGAGACGAGAUAUAAAACGACAGAUAAGAAGGUAAAGCCUGUUGCUGGACCAUUACUAGAGGAUUCUAAAGAACAAAUGGGAGAAGCAUCAAAAGAAGCAAGUUUAAGAGAUCCAAUGAGUAUUGGACAUCAGUUUACUGAAGAGACUUUUGAAGAAUUGAAGAUUGGUUCUGAUGGUUCUUUAUUGCCGGAGGAAAUUACUUGCUUCAAAAAGAUGUUGGCUAAACAAGGUAGAUCGUUUGCCUUCGAAUCUCAUGAAAUUGGGUGUGUGGAUCCAAAUAUUAUAACACCUAUGGUUAUCUUCACUGUACCGCAUGUACCUUGGAAUCUAAGACCGAUUCCAGUACCGAGGACACAUUUACCUAAAUUGGUCGAACUAUUGAAAGAAAAGAUAAAGAUGAAAAUAUUAGAACCUUCAUUUGCGCCGUAUUCUAGUCGAUGAUUUACGGUACCUAAGAAGAAUGGGUCACUACGGUUUAUUCAAGAUAUGCAGCCAAUGAAUGCUGUAACUGUCAGGAAUGCAGGAAUUGGACCUAUUGUGGAUGAAUUUGCUGAGGCGUUUGCUGGAAGGGCGAUCUAUUCAAUGGGUGAUUUGUAUUCAGAUUAUGAUCAAUUUCAACUUGCGGAAGGAAGUAGAGACAUGACAACGAUGAAGACACCGCUUGGAUUGGUUAGAAUGUGCACUCUUCCUCAAGGCGCGACCAACUUGGUUGCGCAUAUGAUGAAUGGGAUGAAUAAGGUAUUGAGAGAUUUUAUUCCGGAAAAGACUAUGCUUUUCUGGAUGAUGUUCCUAUAAAAGGGUGCAGAGAAGGAGACAAGGAUGAAACUUUAGAUACGAGGGGGUGUCGCAGAUAUGUUGUUGAUCAUAUACAAGAUUGUGAAAAGAUUUUAACUCGGCUUGGAGAAGUUCAUCUUACAUUAUCGGGUAUGAAGUCCGUAUUUGGAGUGCGAGAGGUUGUAAUUGUUGGACAUUUAUGCGGAUCUUACGGAAGAAAACCAGAUCCGACUAAAGUUGAUGCAAUUGGAAGGAUGAAAGAGGAUUGUGGUUCUUUAACAGAGGUUCGCAGGUUUUUGGGUGCAUGUGUAUUUUAUCGAAUAUGGAUCCCUCAUUUUGCUCACAUAGCGGAUCCAUUAUAUGAACUGUUACGCAAGGGUUACCGAUUUGAAUGGAAAGAAAGGCAUAUUUAGGCAAUGCAAAGAUUGAAGAAAUUAUUGAUGUCACCUCCAAUAUUGACGAAGGUUGAUUAUAAGUGCAAUAGACCAGUGAUUCUUACUGUAGACGCUAGUCCAAUUGCCGUUGGAUGGGCGGUGGAUCAAGAUGAUUCGAAUGGAAGUAGAUUUGCAGUUCGAUUUGGGGCUAAAGUUUUAAGUAUUCGUCAGCGUGCAUAUUCGCAAGUCAAAAGAGAACUUUGGGGAGUCGUUUCGGCUAUGAAAGCUGAAAAGGACUAUUUGAUUGGGGCAGUAGUAGUAAUUGAAACAGAUUGCUUGCCAUUGCUUGGAAUGAUUAUUAACUGUUCAACGCUAGAUAUUGCAAUGUUGAGAUGGAUUGCUUAUAUUAAGUCACUAAAUCCAGAAUUUAAGCAUAUCACUGGAAAGGACAAUUUAGUAGCAAACAUGCUAUCUCGAGCAAGAUACGAGAGGGAGGACGAAAUGGUUGAAGACAUUGAUGAUGUCGGAUUGAAAUUCUAUUCAAUAUCGAAUCUCAAUAGAGAAGACAAGCUAUUUCUUGAAGAAUCUUAUGAAGGAGAAUUAUUGGAUAUUGGUCAUUAUUUGAAUACCUUGUCUAAGCAGGGGAAUUGGUCUACACAAAAAUUCAAACAAAUAAGAAAAAAAAGCAUAUGGAUUUUUACUUCGAGAUGGAUUCUUAUGGAAGAGAUCGAAGAAAGGAAUUGGGAUGCCACAACGAGUGAUAGGCAAAAGGGAAGAAAAACUAAAAUUAUUAAAGGAGUUUCAUGAUAGUUUAUGGGCAGGGCAUAGAGGAAUCUGGGCUACUUUUGCUAAACUCAAGGAACGAUAUUGGUGGAAAAAUAUGUAUCGAGAUGUGCUCUCAUUUGUAGAGUCAUGUGAAAUCUGUCAAUCAUAUUUUAAUAUCCGACAUCGAGAUGGUCUUCAUCCUACAUAUCCUCUGGCUAUUCAUUUUAAAUGGGUUGUUGAUUUGGUUAUUAUGCCGAUUGGAUUAUGGCAGAUGAGAUAUUUGGUUUUAGCUCGUGAAGAUUUAUCAAAUCUAGUAGAAGGAAGAGCAUUGAGGACAAAAUUUACAGAGGGGAUUUGUAGGUUUUUGCUUGAAGAUGUCAUUUGCCGUUACGGGUGCGUAGGAAAAAUCACUGCAGAUCGUGGAGAAUUAAAUGCACAAGAAGCUCGUAAGUUCUUUGAAAAAUGUGGAGUUAAACUAUCACUGACUACUGCUUAUAAUCCGGAAGGAAAUACGAAAAGCGAACGCGGUCACCCGUCGAUUGUGAAAGCAUUGGUUAAAGCUUGUAAUGGGAAGGUUAAAGAGUGGCCACGGCUUUUGUCAUUUGCAUUAUGGGCUGAUCGAACAACACAUAGUUCGGUGACAGGAUAUAUGCCAGUAGAACUUAUGACAGGUCAAAAACCAAUUAUGCCGAUUGAAGAAAAGGUACUUACUUGGAGUAUGCUACCAUGGGAAGAUGGAUUGACAAGAGAAGAACUUCUGGCUAUUAGGAUUCGACAAUUGGAGCAAAGAACGGAAGAUGUCCAGAUAUCAUUGGAAAGGUUAAAAAGAGCAAGGUUACAAAACAAGGCGCAAUUCGAUAAGCAACAUCGAUUGAGACCAAAAGCAAUCGAGGAAGGUGACUGGGUACUUGUUUAUGACAAUAGUCUGGAUAAUCAACAUAGUACUUUGCGGAAAUUUUCAAAACGUUGGUUUGGACCAUAUGUUGUAACAACUGUUCAUGAUAAUGCGACUUACUCAUUACGGGAGUUAGAUGGUACAAAAUUGAAAAUACCAAUUGCAAGGAAGCGAGUAAAAAUAUUUAAACGAAGACACGCAGAGAUGAAUAUGGAAGACCUUAAUGAAGGUACAGAGAUUCCGCAGCAAGAAGAUGAAAGUGAUAUGGAUAAUGAAGGUGACGAAGACGAACUGGACAAAGACGUAGGGGAUAUAUUCUAAAUCAAAUAGCAAUUGGGUAAAUUGGUGCAUACCGGAGGAUGCACAGGUUCAGAGGGGGUGGAUGUCGUGUUGUAACACGAGUAUACAGUGAAAAUAAAAAGAAAGGGGAAUUUUAUUAAUAUUCAGUUACCUCGAAUAUUGGGAGCAUCAACCAACUCCAGUACAAAUACUGAGUGGUCAGGUUCAGUCACUCCGUUACAGUCAGCCGGGGCAUACUGAAAUGCUCCAUUCGAUUCCAAUAACGGGAGUCAGCAGGAAGAGAAGGACCAAUUCACACGACGGGUUCGAGGAGCCAAUUGGAUCCAAUUUCGAUAAUCCAAUCUGGGUCCUCUUAUCCAAUAUGAGACCUGAAUUGGCCGGUCAACCCAGUGCAGUCUAAUUACGGGAAAUCCAGGUCUUACUACGAGUCUUAGCCAAUCUGACGCGAGGACCAAUUUGACCCAAUUACGGGAACAUCCAGGUUACUAGGGGCAUCUUUCCCAAUAUAGGACCUGAAUUGGUCGGGCGACUCAAUGUGGUCUCGAUUACGGGGUUCGAUUCUGUUUCAGGCUGUCCUGUUCUCUGUGCCGUUUCAGGGAACGUUGUUUUCGGUAAAUGGAUUUCUUAAAGAUAAAAACGGAGGAGAAAGCUUGAUGGCGAGAGCCAAUUUCGGAUCCAAGCUUGAGGUGGGAGCCAAUUCCAGAUCUAAGACGGAAGAUUGAAGAAAUUCAGAGGAUAAGGUUAGGGGGGGAUAUAGUUUUGAGGGGAAAGGUUUUUUUUCGGGGGAAUCGGGGGGAGCGAGUUUUCAAGCUUUUGCAAGGUUACUAGUUCGGUUUUCAUUGGAGGUUUUUGGAAGAUCAAGGAAAUUAGAGAGAGGAGCUUCAUGCUUCGGGUCGGGGAAGGAAAGACAUAGAAUUUGGAUUUUUCUUCUUCGUAGAGUUUUGGGACGACUGAGGCAAUCGCUGCUGAAGUCAGUGUUGUAAUGGUGAAUCGGGAUUUUUAAAUGAAGUGGGUUUGAAUACUCUUGACUGUUUUGUAAAAUCGAGUUACGUCUGUGAUUGAAGGAUUAAAGGGGUGUCUAUAGGAUUGAGUAUGCGGAGUGAAUGAAAUUUAUUGGGUUAAUCUAACAGGACAGUCAGUGGAUACAAGAUCGUAAGUACAAAGGGGUAUUGAAGAUUAACAGUUUGGGUUGUUCGGGGUUCUCUGUAACGUCUAGAGACCUACCGGCUGGGGCAAAAAAAGGACUUCGACAAGCAGUCGAAGGGCAUCAGUAAAGAUUUACGGUGUAUUCUUGCAGUCGUUUAUAUUCCAACAGUAAAAACUGAUAGACUGCUUGACUAUCGGCGGAUCUCCAUACUACCUUCUACAGCCAGACGCCCGGCGCGUUCUCGAGCAAGAAAGCACGUAAUACGACAAUGUAGCCCUAGGAUCCUUUUGGCAUCUCACGAGCCUCAAGGGUAUCCUAUGACACAUACAAUUGACUCAUACUUAGUCUUUGGAUAUUCUCUUGUUAAUACUUUAUCCUUUUGACUUUGACUCUUGGUCCAUGGCUUCGUCCUAUAUCCAUUGGAUGCUCUUAUCAUAUAUCAAGAGUCAAACCUUUGACCACUAGAAACUUACCUAAGAUAAUAUCCUCUAUAUGGUAACUUAUUCUACUUUUACUUUAACACUCCCACUUUGUUAUUGGUCAAAUGGCUUUUAAUCCUAAUACCUUUGUCAAUAUGUGGUAUCUAUCUUUUACUAAUGUCUUUGUCAACAAAUCAGCAAGCAUUUCCUUCGUUGCACAAUACUUCAUAUCAAUCACUCUCAUUUCAAUCUUUUCUCUUAUAAAGUGAUGUUGAAUGUCAAUAUGUUUGGUCUUUGAAUGAUGCUUUGGAUUCUUUAUAAAUUCAAGACAUCCUUGAUUAUCACACUCUAUUGGAGUUUCUUCCAUUUGUACAUCUUGAAGGUCCUCCAAAACUUGUCUCAAUCAUAUUGCCUCUAUUGCACCAUGGCUUGCUGCCAUGCACUCCGCCUCCAUUGUUGACCUUGCAAUUGUUGGUUGUCUCUUGUAAUUCCAUGAAAUUACUCCCACUCCAACAAAGAAUAUAUAGCCCAUUGUUGAUCUUCUAUCAUUUACAUCUCUAGCCCAAUCUACAUCACAAUAACCAUGCAAACUAAUGUUAUCAUGUCUAAGGCAUAAUUUGAAGUUCAAAGUACCUUUUAAGUACCUCAUGAUCCUUUUGAUGGUUGUCCAAUUGAUUGGUCCAGCCUUUGACAUGUAUUGGCUCACAACACUCACCGCAUAUGCAAGAUCCACCCUUGUGUCAACCAUUGCAUACAUAAGUGAGCCCAUUGCUGCCUUGUAUGAAACACCUUGCAUUUGACCUUCAACUUCAGCAAACUCUUCAUCCGUGAGCUUAAUCAACAUGAAGUUUGCCUCCAAUGGUAUUCUAAUAGGCUUAUACUCCUCCAUGUUGAACCGUUUCAACACUUCUUCAAUGUACUUUUUUUGGCUUAAUGUAAUAAUCUUCUUAGCUCGAUCUCUCACAAACUCCACUCCUAAGCAAUAAUAGAGCUCUCUCAAAUCACUCAUUUCAUACUCCUUUUCUAACUUUGCCUUCAACCAAUCUAUCAUCUUCAAUGUAUUGGUUAAGAUGAUUAAAUCAUCAAUAUAGAGGAUGAAAAUCAAUAUGAACCUAUUUGAUUGCAUCACAUAUAAGGAAUGAUCAGCUUCACUCAUUACAAAUCCUUCACUCACAAAGAAUGUAUCAAUGCAUUGAUACCAUGCCCUUGAUGAUUGCUUUAGGCCAUAUAAGGAUUUCUUCAACUUACAAACAAGGUAUUGUUUGCCUUCUUCAACAAAUCCUUGAGGUUGCUCCAUGUAGAUGUCUUCUUCCAAACUUCCAUUCAAGAAAGCCGUCUUCACAUCCAUUUGAUGCAUCUCCAAGUCCAAUACUGUCCCAAUUGCCAUAAUAGUUCUAAUGGUGGUGAAUUUGGCCACGAGACCAAAUGUCUCAUUGAAAUCCAUACCAACAACUUGUGAGUAGCCUUUAGCAACCAAUCUAGACUUGUAUCUUACAAUAUUACCCAUUGCAUCCCUUUUGGUUUUAAACACCCACUUACAACCAAUUGAAGAUCGAUUUGGUGGAAGUUGAAUCAAUUUCCAUGUUCCAUUAUCCAUGAGUAAUUUAUACUCUUCUUCCAUAGUAUUCUCCUACUUCAAUGCAUCUGUGGACUUCAUUGCAUCACAUAAACUUAAUGGAUCAACAAAAAGUCCAACAUUGGCAUGUUCUUCACUUACUUGAGGAAAGAUGUGGUCCUUCUACCAUUCACCAAGUGGUUUUCUUUCUCUCAAAGGAUAUCUCCUUUCAUUUGAAGAAGAACCUUCUUCUUGCAUUCCAUCCUUCCUCUUCCUCAAUGCUUAUCUUUUCUCACUCAAAGAUUGAUAUUCUUCAUCAUCAUCAUCACCUUCAAUAUCUUCAUUGUCUUCAUUAUUGGUUCUAGCAAUUAAAGGCUUACUAUGAUUUACCUUCUUUGGCACUUGAUCUUGACUUCUAUUUUCUCCAUCCCCAUUUUCAUCAUCAUCAUCUUCUUCUUCUUCUUCUUCUUCUUCUUUCUUUGCUGAACUUGAAGAUAUGUCGACAAAUACACCUUCACUCCCACUUGGACACUCUUUUAAGUGCUCAAAAGCACUCUUAUGCUCCAAAAACUCUACAUCACGACUUUUGAUGAUCUUUUUGGUUUCUAAACACAUUAGCCUAUAUGCUUUGGUACUUUUACAAUAUCCAACAAAUAUAUAUUUUAUAUCUUUUGCAUCAAGUUUGGACCUCAUACAAUCUGGUACCUUUGUAUAAGCAAUACAUCCAAAAAUCCUCAUGUGUGAAAUACAAGGUUUCUUCCCACUCUAAGCUUCUUGUGAAAUUAUUGAUGUAAGUGCACUUGUAAGGCACCUAUUCCUUGUAUACACCACAUUUAUCUCAGCUUCUACCUAAUACUCAUGCCCAAGAUUUUGUGUAUGAAGCAUACUCCUUGCCAUCUUCACAAUGGUUCAAUUUGCUCUUUCAGCAACUCCAUUUUGUUGAGGAGUGUAAGGAGUAGAGGUUUAUCUUGUAAUAUCUUGAAUCUUUAUGAAUUCAUCAAAAUACUUUGACAUAUAUUCACCUCCAUUUUCCGUUCUCAACACUUUGAUCUUGUACUCACAUUGUUUCUCUACAAGAGCCUUAAACUCCUUAAACCUUGAGAAACAUUCACUUUUAGCUUUAAUGAUAUAAAUCCACACCUUUCUUGAAAAAUCAUCUAUGAAUGUGAAAAAGUACCUUGCUCUUUUAAUUGAUGGUGUCUUCAUUGGUCCACAAACAUCUCUAAUAAUUUAGUUGCAUGUGUUGCAACUCCACUUGAAAAUGAAGCCCUUUGUUGUUUGCCUUGUAUACAUCCUUCACAAGCAAGUGUCAUGGCAUUGUGGCUCAAUUGACCAAGAUCCAAGCCAUUUACCAUAGAUUGGAGCUCCUUCAUACAUUUGGCAUUCAAAUGAUCAAGUUGUUGAUGCCAAAUUCCAAACUUAUCUUGAUCUUGUGGAAAAUCAGCAAAUUCCGCCACUUCAACUCCAUUCACCUUCUUGUAAUUGAUGAAGUAGAAAUUUCCAUCUCUAAGGCCUUUAGCAAUAUGUUGGCCAUCCAAUGUCUUGACAAAACAUCCAUUCAUAUCAAAUUGAAUCUUAUAACCAUGUGAUACAAGUUUGCUCACCAAAAAGACGUUCUUCUUUAUUUUUGGAACAUAUAAAACUUUUUUUAAUGUGAUCCUCUUGAUUUGGUCCUUCACAACAAUCUCUACCACAGUGGAACCAAUUCCAAUGGCUUACACCAUGCCAUUGUCUCCCAACCACACUUUUGUUGCUAGAAUUUCUUCAUAAGUGUUAAAUGAACACUUAUAUGGUGUCAUGUGCUUAGUAGCACUUGAAUCUAUAAUCCACUUUGAAAUAGCAGCCAUGGAGGCUCCUUCUCUUGCCAUGAAAGUAUACUCAUCUCCACCAAAACUAUCACUAGCAUUGUUUGCAUUCUCUCUAUCUCCUUUCUUGGCCUUGUAGCAAUUUCUAAUAAAAUGACUUAGUUUUUUACAAAUAUAGCAAUUCUUCAUAUUUCUUUUUGAAUUAUCACGUUGGUGAAAACAGCUACCUUUGUCUUUUCUUGAAAAUAGAGCCAAAUCAUCACUUGCAAGCUCCUUUUCUUUCCUCUUGGUCACUUCUUGGACAAGUCUUGACGUCACAUAGUUCAUGAUAAGCUCUUUCAUGUUGAUAGACUCGAAUGCCACAAUGAGGUAGUUGUAGGAUUCGGAAAGGCUCAUGAAUAAUAUCAAUACAAUGUCCUUAUCAUCAACUAGUUUAUCAAUAAUUGCUAGUUGGUUAGCAAGUACUUUUAACUUAUUAUCAUGAGCCAUGAAGUCAUCUCUUUCUUCCAUCUUUACUGUCAAGAACUUUCUCUUUGUCCAAAGGAUGUUGGCAAGGUUUCUACUCUCAUAGAUGUUGCAAAGAGUCUUCCAUGCUUCCACUGGUCCAUUGCAAGCUAUAAUAUGUGAAAAGUUGGCAUCAUCAAGGUUUCUUGCAAUCAUUCCAAAAGCCUUCUUUUUAUGAUGUUUGUACUCCUUCUUCACCUUGAUAUCAUCAUUGUCACUUGGAGGGUCUUCACUUUCAUCAACAAUAUCUCAAAGGUCCAAUGAAGCCAACAAAAGCUCCAUUUUCUUCUUCCAAUGGUAAAAGUUGUCACCUCUAAACUUUUCAAUCACUCUCAACUUCACAUACAAGACUUCUCACAAGUCUUAUACUCUAUCUAAACCUCUUGCAUAAGCUUUGCCAUUCUUCAAUCACCCCUCUAACCACACAAAAUACUUCUUAUAAUAAUAAGAAAAUCUCUUAUGAAGUUAAGUAUAUGGAAGCAAAAAGUUAGAGCACCAAUGAUAAAACUCAACAAAGAAAUACAAUACUCAAGUUCUAAAACAUCAUUAAAUAGAGUCUAAUAACAACCAAGACUAUCAAUGCAGUUAACAAAAAAUAAGAGCAAAAAUUACAUCAACAACUAGAUGCAUAAGAAGAGUUAGAAGAGAGCAAACUCAAACUUCAGCAACAACCAUUAGAUCUAUUCCUCACAACAAGAAAGACUUCAAAGUACUUCAAAACUCACAAGUAAAGGUGAGUGGGUCCAUAACCUAUUGAAAAACAAGCACUUUGAAGACACAACACUUAGCAUCAGCAAGGUUGUAUACAAAGAGAGUAUGGAAUAAGAUGUCUCUCACUUCCAAUACCCAUUACUUAUAGGUAGUGGUUGCUGCCCUAAAAGACAACUUCUACUCUUUGACUUUUAUACACGUGGCCCUAGGAUCCUUUUGGCAUCCCAUGAGCCUCAAGGAUAUGCUAUGAUACAUACAAUUGACUCAUACUUAGUCUUUGGGUAUUUCCUUAUUAAUACUUUAUCCUUUUGACUUUGACUCUUGGUCUAUGACUUCGUCCUAUAUCCAUUGGAUGCCCUUACCAUAUACCAAGAGUCAAACCUUUGACCACUAGCAACUUACCUAAGUUAAUAUCCUCUAUAAGGUAACUUAUUCUACUUUUAUUUUAACAGAAGUUGGUAUAAUCAUCACAUUUCUUUCCAAACUUCUUAAUCUAUGACAUGCAUAUUACAUAACUUGUAAGCCACAAGACUUGAAAAAAUCAAUGAUAGAUCUUUAAGAUGUUAUACCUAGAAAAAACUUAGAGAGAAUAUUGAUGCCAUCCAUCAUUGUCAUUAUAGUGGACUUGAUAGUUUUGGAAGUCUUUCUUAUUAAUGAUAAGUUCUUUCCAAUCUAAUCGACUCUUUGUGUAUUUUAUAACCUCAACUAAUUUUUUAUCAAAUAAUAAGGUCAUUUUUUUGUAGAAUAUUCUACAAAUAACUAUCUAUAAGGAUAUUGACAACAUGGAUCUAUUUUUUGGCAUAUACUAUCAACAAAUUUCUACUAUGCUACUUUUUUGUAAUAUAAAAAAGCUAAAUUAUGUAAAAAAUUUAAUACUUAUAAUUUAUUUAAGUCUAAAAUUAAUCUUCUAUGGAGCUCUCUAAUCCUUAUAGUCAUUGACUAAUGCUAUUUUGAUAUUUCUAACAUGUUUGUGAAUAACAAAUAUCUUAUGUAUAAUAUCUCUUAAGACUUGAUCUUAUUUGUAAGUCUUAGAAAAGUAAUUUUUUUUUGUCUCAUAUUGAACUUAUUGUAUUUGUUUUGCUAAUUCGAAUUCUAAUGAUUUAUAUGUUCUAAAGCAUAUAUGUAAUUUUACUUUACAUUUUUUAUAGAAUAUAUAACUUAUAGUUUUAAAACCAUUAUAAAUUAUCUUAUCAAAUUAAUAUAAUAAAUUCAAAUUGUGAUCAAAGUAGUUAGCCAAAUUAAAAUUUUGAAUCCAAUUUAUAUUCAAAUUAUUUAAAUAAUUAAUUAUUAUAAAUCUAAAUUGUAUUCAAAUUAGUUUUGAAUAUUUCUAUUAUAAAAUAAAAUCAAUUUUUUAAUCUAAUUGUCAAAUAUUUUGAAGUAAAAAUAAUGCAAGAAAGAUAAUUAUAAAUAUUUUAUCUAAGGCUUUUGCAAAGAUAUAUAUUUAUAGUUAUGGCUUUAAAAUUUUUAAAUUAGAAUAAAAUUUUUUAUCUAAAAUCUUUUGUAUGUGUACAAGAUUGACUUGACUAAUUUACUACAUCAUACAAAUGCUCUUUCAAAAAGUCAUAUGUUAGACUUUUUAAUGCCAUGAUUAUUGAUACUAAUUCUAAAAUUUAUUUUUGUAUCUUUUGCUAUUGGUGGAAUAUAAAUAAUUUAUAUAUACAACCAAUUGCUUUAAAAAAAAGAAUUAUAUUAAUAAAAUUAAUAAAUAUCCUUAGCAUUAAUUCAACCAUUAAUAAAAUAUAUUCACCAAAUAAUAUUGAUAAUAAAAGAUCUAUUGUGGUUGUUAACGUGCCCAAAGAGAGCAUAUUGUUGGUAUUAAAGAAAACUACUAUAGAUUGAAAUUGCUCAAAUAUAAGAUCCAAAGCAUACAUCAAUACCUUCUUUACAAAAUAAGAAAGUAAAAUUUAUACAUCUUGAAGAUCAUUGAUAAAAAUCUUGACUUACAACUUUAGAGAAAAAGAUUGAUCUUUUGCAAGGAGCAUGGUCACCCGUCUAAGGUAGAAAGUAGUAUUUGUUAAAGCUUUUAUAAAUUAUUUGUUGUGAAGAAUCCAAUUAUUUUGUAGAUAUUCAACUAUCUCAUUGGCAUGUGUAGGAACAAACUUAGAGUUCAGAUUUUUCCAUUCUAUAAAAAAAGCCUCUUCUAAAGACAAAUUCAUCUAAUUGAUCCAAUUUGCAAGAAAAUCAAAUUAACCUAUUUUUUCUUUAGAUAAAAAAAAAAGUUCUUAUAAUUGAUUAGUACAUUCUUUUGAAUGUGCCAAAUAUUGAAUAAUAUAAUUAAUAUAGAAAAUACAUCGUCACUAGCAUUUAUUAGUACUAAAUCUUUAUUAAUGCCAAUGAAAAAAAAUUUGAAGGCUCUUCUAUACAUGAAAAACUUCCAUUAAUAUCCAACAAAAGAACAAUUGAAUUUUUUCUCAAAAAAUGAAAUCACAAUAGUAAAAGAUAUAUUGAAGCUUAUAACUUCUACAACAUCUAUCAUAGGCAUUUCAAACCUAUUACUUUUAUAUGUUAAAUCUAUAGCUAUACUAUAUAUAUCUUUUUGUAAAUUAAAUACAUUUAUGAUAGGUGAAAAUUAAAAGACUUAUUUUAUUUGUUCCAUUGCACAUAUAUCUGUAGUGAUAUGUAAUAUCAAAAAGAUAUUCUAUAAGAAUAAGAAUAAAUGAACAAAUAUUAAGUUUAAUUUCACAAAGAUAUUGAUACUUAUUAUAAAUAGUGUAAUCGAUCAUAUAAGUUAUAAAAUUUGUUUGUGUAACACAAUUACUACAUUCUUUGGUACUACCUUUAUAAUAUUCUAUCAUAGAUAUAUUUAUUCUAAUAGUUAUCUAAAUAAUAUAAAUAAAUAGAAGUAAAUAAAAAUAGAUUAAAUUAAUGAUAUCUUAUAGAAAAGCUUUCUAAAAGCUUUAUAUAUGUAUUUUCUUUUUUAUUCUUAUCUAUAAGUGGUUGAUAGGUUGAAAACUUGCCAACAAAUUAGGCACAUGUUGCACAUAUUAGUAGCUUGUAGAACAAGCUAAUUACAUGGUAUACAUAUAAAAAACUUGUCUUGUAAGUAAGACAUAUAUCUUGUAAAUUGGACAUGUGCUAGAGGUCCUAUAAAACAUUGUUAUAUAGCUCAUAAGUAUAUAAUAUAUAUAGAGAAAAGUGUGAAGCCUUCUUCACUCUUAUCAAUUCUUUUCUUGCUUCUAAUCUAAUUUCAAGAGCCUCUAACUUUCUAGUCUUUGGUAAUAGCCAUUCCAGUUUCUUAUUAAAUACAUUUAUUUUUUUUAUUUCUAUUUUGUCAUGUGUCUCUAAUUUAUUUUUCACUUAUUUAUGUAUCUUCCUUGAGUUCUUAUCUUUGAUAAAUUGAUAAAAAUUUUAAUUCAUCAUUCAUAUCUUGUUUUUAGAAGUGAGUAGAUUAUCCUAUUUUUAUUAUUGAAUUUUAAAGGUUGUGGACUACCUACCUUUGAACUAAUAUUUUUUGUUUUCUAAAACUUAAUUUUUUUCUUAAAGAGAGCAGAGUACUAUUUUUUGUAGAAAUUUUCAUCUAAUAUUAAAGGUUGCUGAUUACCUUCCUCUAUUUGAUUUGUGGAUUUAUUAAAAUUAUUGAAAUAAAUGAAAAAAUCAUAGAUGCUACACUUUGUGGAAGUGAGAAUAAUUUUGCAACUAUAGCUAAUCUUCAUAAGCUUUUUAACACUCCUAAGGUAGAAAUUUCAUGCAUCACUAAUGCCAACCACAAAAGUACUAUUCCUAUAUGUAUAGAAGAAGUCCAAAGUCUACGUUAAGAAGUUAUGCAGUUAAAGGAAGUAAUUAGAUCAACCUUAUAACUAAAUCUAAGAAGUUUUGUUUCUAUAAAUAGAAGAGAGGUAAGAAUUAGUAUGUUUAAGAAGUUUGAUAGAACAAAAUCAAAAUUUUGAAGUUUUUUGCAACAAGUAAAGUUCUAUGUAAGGUUGCAUCUUUUCCAAUACUUUAAUGGAUUUACUCAAGUUGGAUUCAUAAACAUACUUCUAUUUGGAAGUACUCUCUCUUAAUUUUUAUCUUUAAUGGAAAAUGAUUUAUGACUCUUUUAUGAUUUGAAAUCAUUCCUAGAAAUGUUUACAAACUUAUUUGAAAAAAAGUGAUUGGAAAAGAAUAGCAAAGACCAAAUUCUUAUCUUUACAACAAGAAUCACAAUCAACCACCAUAUAUACUAUUGACUUUCAAAAUCUUGCUUACAAUGAGGACUAGAGUGACAAAGUUUUUAUGAAUCAAUUUUAAUUUGGAUUGAAGGAUAAUAUCAAAGAUUUAUUAUUGGUAAUACUAAAAAUAUAUUUUUUAGAAUAAUUUAAUAUUCAAGCCAUUCUAUGCAACAAUCAAUUAUUUGAAAAGCAUCAAGAAAAAAAAUGUGUUUGAAGAAGAAUAAAUCAAGUAAUAAUGAUAAUUUUUAAAUUUUCAAAAACUUAUUCAUUAAGGUUGGAACCAAUGCAAAUCGAUACAAUAUAUUUUAAAUUAUCUCAUUGAGCAAAAAAAGACUUAAUGUUGUCAAGAAGGUUUGUGCUUAUAUUAUAGAAAAGAUAAACACAUUCUUCAACUUUGUUUAAAGAAGUAGUAUUGUCAUGUGAUAAUAUGACUAUAUAGGAAAAAAUAAAAAUAUGGAUUUUAUUAUAGAAGAGCUUAAGAGAAAGAUUUAGUAGAAGAUUUAGUCUUAAUAUUGCUUGUUUAUAGAAGGAACUUCUAUAAACUUUGUAGAGACAUAAAUGAGCGAAAUCAAAGUAAAUGAGAUAAAAAAUGAUAUAGGCAUGAAUAAGAAGAAAUUAAGAGUAGAUUUUAGUAAAAUUUAUCUCAAGAAGUAAAGAAUUGAUACUUAAAAAAGGAGCAGGUGUCAACUUGGAUUGAAAUCAGACCAUAAGGUACAAAAUUGUGCAUCUACUGUAACUUUGAUGUUCUUUGGUAGUUUGGAGAGUAAGGCUUGAGAAAAAAAUUAGAAAGAGAUAUUUAGGCAUUGGAUUUAUGUCAAUUAAGUCAAUAUUGAAUUUUGAAGGAUUUUUAAAGUUAUUAAUAUUUUUAAUUGGUUUAAAUUUUUAAAAAAUAAUAAUUUUUUUACAAUUUUGAAAGUUUCUUGAAAUUUAUCAUAUAUAUAUAUAUGGAUGAAUUUUAGAAAAUAUGUUGGUGUUCUAUUUAUUAAUGUGUAUACAAAUUUUGAGAUCAAUCAAACAAUUAGAUUGAAGUGUGAGGAUUUUUAUAGAUUGAGGUUUCAAAAAUUGGAGUUUGAAGAUUAGUGAGUAUUUUUAAGAUCUCUAGUGAUCUAUCAAUUGGAUUGAAGUGAAUUUUUUUUUGUAUAGAUAUUAGUUUUAGUUUUUAAUAUUUUAAGUGAAAUUUGGAAGCAAUUUAAUGAUUCAAAAAGGAGAUAUUGGCAUUAGAAGUUUAGCAUUCAAAUUGGAGUAGGAAGCUACCUAAUAUCCAAUAGGAUUAUCUUGCUUUUCUUUCAAUUGAUAAGUGAGAUUGUUUUCAUCUUUUUUGUGCUUAUUUUUAAUUAAGAUAUUAAAAAGUCUACAAAAUUUGAAUUAACAUCAAUAGUUUGAUUAUUAAUUAUUGAGGUUUUAUUUGCUAUUAAGUUUGUUAAGAGUUUGUUUAAAAUCUUGGAUUUGAAUAGGAUUGAUUUUAGAUGUGGUCUAGAAUUUGCUUAGAAUUUGGUUUAAAAUUAGUCCAAGAUUUUUCUAAGAUUUAGAAUUUCAUUAGGAUUUUAAUUAGGAUUUAAUUUAAGAUUUGAUCAAAAUUUAAUUAAGGGUUUCAAUUAAGAUUUGAUUUAACAUUUGACCUAGGAUUUGGUUAAGAUUUAAUUAGGAUUUUAAUUAGGAUUAAAUUAGAAUUUAUAUUUUUAAUAUUUAUUUAGGAUUCUUUUUUUCUUUAAAGAUUUUUAUUUCUAGUAUUUAUUUGAGAUUAUUUUCAUUUUUUUAAUAUUUUUUAAAGAUUUCUUAUUAUAUUUCUUUGAAAUUAAUUUGAAACUUCUUUGUAUUUCUUUAUAACUUCUUUUAAAUUUAUUUUUGAUUGGUCAAAGUUUGAUCAAGAUUAUUAAAAUCUACUUAAAAUUAUUUAAGAUUCUAUUACACUUGAUAGGAUUGUUUUUGCAUUUCUAUUUACCUUCUAUAGCUAGGUGCUCGAUGCAUUGUCAUACUAUAAUUAUUUAUAGUAUGUAAAAAUUAGUUAGAACAUAUAAUAUGUUCAUAAGUCUUUGUGUGUGUUAGAAUGGUUAAUAGAUUAAUUUAAAGAGAGUGGAUAUAAGAAACUUUAUUUUGAAUUUUAUCUAUUUUGAUUAUGGCAUUAAAAAAUUAUAAGACCUAAAUGUAUAGUAUAAAGCUUAAGAGGAGAUUAGAGCCAAAAGAUGAAAAUCUAAACUAAUAGGAGGCUAAUUGGAAGGGAUGAUAGCAAGGCAUGGUCGGAUGAAGGCAAGGGAUGGAGAUCUUCAUCCCUAUUGGUCGAAGGCCAUGCCGAAUGGACUUCAAGGAGGUUGCCUAAGGCUUUAUUAGGGAUCAAAGUUUCUCUUUUGAAGUCAUUCGAGCUUUGGAGGCUGAAAUCAGCAAGUUUUGAUUUUUGAAUAUGGAUUGGGUGCAAUUUUUGUGUGAUUUGGAAUUUAUGAAGGAGUUAUUGGCGCUCAAAGUUAAGUUGUCAAUUUCAUACCUAUUAUCAUUUUUUGGGGUAUAACAUACGUUUACAGAGAGCAAAAAAUAAUUAGCUAUUAGGAUUAGAGAGAACAUUUUUUUACUACACUUUUCAUAUACUAUUUGAUAAAUUUGGAGUUUGGAUGAAGAAGUUAUAGAGAGUUGAAGUCAGUGCAUCCAAAUCAAAGGCAAUAAGUAAGUGAUUUUGUUCAUAGUAAUGGUUGGAACCAUAUCUUGAGUUUUUGGAUGAAUUUUGGCUCAAACCUUUUGAAGAAGGUAGAUUAUUGUAUAAAGAAGCUAUACAUAAAAAUUUUGUGGAAUUUAAGUGUUUAAUUUGUGAGAUAUGAAGAAAAUUACAUGCAAGCAUAUAAAAACUUUGGUUUGAAGCUACUGUUAGGAUUUUGGUCAUAUCUUAAAAUCAUCAACAAAUUUGUAGUUAAAAUUUGUUGUGGUAGUUGUUAGAAGUACAUUAGUACUUCAUGUAUAAUUUGAGUGUGUUUGAAUAGUCUCAUUGAAAGAUAUGAAUUAUUGAAGUUCGAGAGUAAUACCCCAUAAGGAUAUAUAAGGAUUUAGAGUUUUUUUUUAUUAUAUUUUGAAUGUUUUUGGAAACUUAAGACUUACAUAUUUGGUAUAAUUGCUCCUAAAAGUAUUAUAUAUAUAUAUAUAUAUAUAUAUAUAUAUAUAUAUAUAUAAAUUGGUCUUUCUUAUCUCAAGUUUUGAUUCAGCAAUUAGUGCAGCCAAGAAUUCAGUGCUUUCUUGAGGUAAAUUUUGUCUAUCAUAAUAGUGUUCUCAAGUAAGAACACAUGUAAUAGAAUAACGUAAUUACAAAAUAAAGAGUACGGUUGUCAAAAAAGAUUAUGUAUUAGUAAAAAAAUUUUUUCAACUAUCAUGGAGACUAUGUAAUUGGAAUCAUAUAAAAUAUCUAAUAAAGGUCCUAUUCUCUCUUCAAAUCUCUCAUCUUAUUUUAUAAUAGAUGUAAGUUUGAAGCCUAAAAAUCAAAAUUUUUUUACCUUAUUAGAUUCAAGAGCCUCAAUUUUUUUUAUGAAAAAAAAAUAAAGACUUUGUGAAAAAAUAUAAAAUAUCUUAAGUCAAAAAAACUAAAUUCGUAUAUGUAGAAGUCAUAGAUGGUUGUUUAUUAUCUUUUGGAGAUGUUAUCUAUAAGAUUGUUUCUGUAGAUAUAGUAAUUAAAGAUCAUAAUAAUUUAGUAAUAUUUAAUUUCAUAAGAUCUUCCUCUAAUCCAAUUAUUUUAGGAUUAUCAUGAUUAAAAAAAUAUAAUCUUCAAAUAGAUUGAAUUUCUUUUAAUUUUGAUUUUUUUUAUAUUUUAAUCAAAAAUUUCAUUAGUCAAGUAAAAAUAUAUAUAUCUAAUAUAUCCAAAUCUUUAUUAAUAAAUGCGAUAACUUUUAUAUGUGAUACAAAAAAAGUUCAUCUUUUGCUAUAUAUGCCAUAUCUAUUUUUAAUGGUAGAAGGACAUCAAGUGGUAUCUCUAGUCGAUAUUAAGAUUUUUGAGAUAUUUUUGAAAUAAAAAAUAUAAAUAUUCUUAUAGAGCAUGGAUCUUAUAAUUAUUCAAUUGACAUUCAAGAAGAAAUUCAACUGCAAUUCAAACCAUUUUAUAGCUUAUUGCAAAAAAAAUAUAUUUAUAAGAAUUUGAUUAAAAACUUCAAAUGCUAUUCAAAAUCUCUAAUAAGAGCUCCUAUCUUAUUUGUGAAGAAAAAUAAUGGAUCUUUGCGGAUAUGCAUUGACUAUUGAAGAAUUAACAAGAUCAUUAUUAAAAAUAGGUAUCUUUUACCUUUUAUUUCAAAAUUUCUUGACCAACUCAAUUAAGUAAAGAUCUAUAUAAAAAUAGAUCUAUAAAGAGAAUACAACUUAGUUCGCAUUAAUAAAGACAUGAAUAGAAGGCUACUUUUUGAACUAAGUAUGAACAUUUUAAAUAUAAUAUCAUGCCUUUUGGAUUCAUAUAUGCACCAAUUACUUUUCAAUAUCUUAUGAAUGAUAUUUUUUAUGUAUUUUUUAAUUAUUUUAUUAUCUUUUAUUUAGAUGAUAUUCUAAUUUAUUCUAAGAGUAUAAAAAAACAUAAAUUUUAUGUUUGUUGUGUAUUACAAAAAGUUAAAGAUGUAGGAUUAUAUGCCAAGAUGGAAAAGUAUAUAUUCCACACUACUCAAGUUGAUUUUUUAGAGUACAUCAUUUCCAAAAAAGGCUUCAUGGUAGAUCUAAAGAACGUCCAAACUAUCAUAGAUUAGAAGAUUCUAAGAACAAUAAGAGAUGUGCAAUGCUUUUUGAGCAUUGCUAAUUACUACUAGAUCUUCAUUAAGAAAUUUUUUCAAGUUGUAGUUCUACUUGAUUGUCUUGUAAAGACAAACUUGAGUGGAAUAAAGAUGCUAAAAUAUUAUUUGAUGCUUUGAAAAAAGAAUUUAUUUUUACACUAAUUCUAUAUUGUGUUGAAUUUUUUAAGAUAUUUUUUAUGAAAAAAGAUACAUAGGACUUUGACCUGAGUGUAAUAUUAUCAUAAAUAGAAGUGGAUGAUAAACUUUAUUCAGUAGCUUUUCAUUCCAAGAAAUUUUGAAUAGUAGAGAUCAACUUUGAAAUCUAUGAUAAAAAACUUCUUGUAAUUGUGGAUUCUUUUUAGAAAUGGCAUUACUAUCUAGAAGGUGCUUUUAGUCCAAUCACAAUAUAUAUGGAUUAGAAGAACUUUGAAUACUUCAUGUCAACAUGCAUAUUAAAUUGUUGCCAAGCUUAUUAGAACAUAUCAUUAUCAAGAUUUAAUUUUAAGAUUAAAUAUUGAUUUAAAAAAUAAUAAAGUUUAUCAAAUUUAUUUUUUAGACAUUCUUAUCUUAGACCAAAAGAAAAAGAUGUAGCUUUUGGUCAAGAAAGAACAAUUGUCUUGAAACUGAGCAAUUUCAUCUUUUAGUAAUAAAAUCAACAUUGAUUAUUGAUUCAACCUUUAUUACUCAAAUUCAAUCAAGUACGUUUUUUGAACUUCUUAUUCACAAUAUUAAGAAUAAUUUUUUUAAGUCUCAUGAUACUUCCAAGCUUAAGUUUAAGAAUAGCUUAUUUUAUUUCAAAGGUCACCUAUAUGUUUUAAAAAGAGAAGCAUGUUUACGUGUUCUUCAAGUUCAUCAUGACUUUUUAAUGGUAAGAAAUUUUGAAUAUAAUAAGACUUCAGAGCUUAUAUCUAGAGAUUUUUAGUAGCCAUAAAUGUGGAAGGUUGUGAAAGACUUUGUAUAGUAAUAAGAUAUUUGUUUAAAGUCAAAAACUCCUUAUCAUCAAUCCUAUGGACUUCUUCAAUCAUUGCAUAUAUUAAAACAACCAUAAUUUUUUUAUUUCUAUGGAUUUUAUUAUAGAUCUUUCAAGUUUAAAUUUAUAUAAUUUUAUAUUUUUAAUUAUAGAUUAUUUUAUCAAAAUAGUAUAUAUUAUACUAGAUACAAAAAUUAUUUCUUAUGAAAAAAUAACUAGAUGUUUUUUGAAAAUAUCUAUUGCUAUCAUGGAUUUCCAAAAUAUAUUAUAUUAGAUAGAGGGAUGCAAUUUUUAUUAAAAUUUUGAAGAAUCAUUUUUAAGAUAUUGAAAGUAUAUACAAAGUUGCAUUUGGCUUUUUAUCCUCAAAAUAAUGAGUAAAAAAAUAAGUGAAUCAAGUUUUGGAACAAUAUUUAAGAUAUAUCAUCAACUAUCAUUAAGAUGAUUUGACAAUUUUUUUAUCAUUGGCAGAAUUUGCAUAUAAUAAUUUGUAUAUUCUUCUAUUAUACAUCUUUUUUUAUUAAUUAGGAUUACCAUCUAUGAUUGAAAAUAUCUUGUUUUUUAAAAAUUCAUAACCUUGUGGCAAAAGAUUUUGCAAAUUAUUUAUGAAAGAUAUAUUGAAACAAGAUUGAAUUUUCUAAGGUCUAAAACCUUAUCAAUUUUACAACAACAAAGAUUUCAAUACAACAUAAGACCAAGUAUACUGAAACAAAAUUAAAAGUAAUUAAACGGAAUAAAAUAUGAAAGAUAGGAUUAAAUAAAAAAAAAUAUAAUUAAAUAGAAAUAAAUAAAAUUAAAAAUAAUAAAAUAAGAAAAAUAAACAAACGGAAUCUAAAGCCAUAUUUGACCAAAUAUCCAAAUGGCUUCAAUUAGUCAUAUUUAUCCUUUGUUCAACUAUAUUUGGAGUUUUCUAGUAUGUCUCUAAUGAUGGACCCCUCCAAGAUAACCACCUUUCUAGAAGACUCUAGAAAUGGAUUUUACCAUAAUAAUUGCUGUUGUCGUAGAAAGAAUUUGCCUUAAGAAAGCAUUGGGAUUUUGGCUGUCACUCAAAGCUCAAUCAAGCCUCUAGAUAAAGAAAACACCAAGUUUAUAUAUAAAUUUUUUUCCUAUAGGGGAAAUUACAUCAAUACAUAAACCUUAAGUACCAAAGAUCACGAAAAAUGUAAUAAAAAAUAUUAUAAAAAACUUGUAUAUCCUUAAGGUAAUUUUUUCUUGAAUUUCAACAGUUCAUAUUUCACAAUUGGACCAUCCAAACAAAUCCAAAUUUUUUAUGAAAUACUAAUGUAUUUUUAACAAAUACCACAACAAAUUUCAAAUGAAAAUUCAUUACGGAUCUUGAGAUAUUGCCAAAAUUCUAACAGUAGCUUCAAACCCUUAUUUAUAUAUACCUAUGUGCAAAUUCCUUCAUAUCUCACAAACUAAUUACUUAAAUACCAUAAAAUUUUGAUAUAUAGCUUUUUGACCUAAUGAUACAUACUUUUAGUAAUUUCGAGCCAAAAAUUCAUCCGAAAAUUCAAGAUAUGGCUCCAACCAUUACUAUCAACAAAAUGACUCACUUAUUGCCUUUAAAUUACAUGAGCUGUCUUCAAUACUCUAUAACUUCUUCAUAUAAACUCCAAAUGCAGAAAUUUCUUCAUAAAAGAUAUAGAUCUUAAAAUCAUCCUUACGGUUAUUUCUUUGGAUCUCCAAAAUCUAUCAUAAAACUCCUUUAAUUCUCAAAAUAGCAACAAUAGGUCUUAAAAUGACACCUUAACUUCAAAUGACUAUAACUUCAUCAUCUUAACUCCAAACCCUCUAAAAUUUAUAUAUAAAUUGAAGCCCAAAUCUUAAAUCUCACAAUCCUUUCUUCUAAAUCUUAAAUACCUCUUCUAAAGUUGCCAAAAUCCUUAUUAUGGUCACAGAUAGCUUACUAAAUGCCCAUUAGGCAUGGCCUUUGACCAAUAGGGAUAAAGAUCUUUAAUUUUAGUCUUCAUCCAUCCAUACCUUACCUUCAUCUCUUCAAAUAAGCUUCUUAGAGGUUUGGAUCUUCAUCUUUAAGUUCCAAUCUUCUCCUUAAUUUUUAUAUUAGAUAUUUAUAUCCUAUAUAUUUUAAAUAGUAUAAUCAAUAUAAGUAAAUAUCAAAAUAAAUUUUUUUACAUCAAUUCUUUUUAAAUUAAUCUAAUAAUCAUUCUAAAAUACAUCAAUAUUUAUAAAUAUAUUAUCUAUUUUAAUUAUAUUUUACUUACUAUAAAAAAUUAUAAUAUAAUACCCCUCUAAGUCUUUUUAAGAGGUUCUAUGGUAGAUUCUACAUGAACCACUAUCAUAACUUCAAUUCUAAAAAAUUCCCAAAAAUGACUCCAAUUACAUAUUUCUAUAUGAAAAUAAUACAAAUAUCCUAUCUAUGCCUGGUUAUACACAUGCAAUAAUAAAGGUGUAAUUAAAUAAAGCUUAAGAAUGACAAAAAAUCAAUGUGGAUGCAUAUUACAAGGAACUACUAUAAUUUGAUUUAAGCGACAAAGUAUGAUUACUUCAUUACAAUAUCAAGACUAUUUAUCUUUAUGACAAUUUGGAUUAUGAUAAGCUUGGACCUUUUCUUAUUUGUGAACAAAUCAAUCUAAUUGCUUAUCAAUUAUACCUACCACAAUCAAUGAAGAUCCAUCUCAUAUUUCAUGUAUUUUUUCUUAAGCCAUAUAAGAUAAUAAAUAUCCUAGAAAGAAAAAUAAUGUUAUUGCCUCCUAUAGAAGUAGAUAAUUAUCAAGAAUUCAAGAUGGAAGAAAACUUAGAUUCAAAAUAGCACUAAAAUAGAUUAAAACAUCUUGUUCAUUGGAGCAAAUAUAAUAUUAGUGAAUGCAUGUAAGAACCAGCAAAGAAUCUUGUAAAUACAAUAAAGAAGGUUAAAAUUUUUUAUCAAUAACAUCCAUCAAAAAAAAAAAAAAAAAAAAAAAAAAAAACAAUCAAUUCUUUGUUACAAAAGAAAAGAUAUUUAAUGAAGAUUGCAUCCUAUCUUUUAUCUUUUAUUAUGAAUUAUUUCUAUUUUAGUAACUUCAAUAAGAUAGAGAAUCUAUAAUUGAUAGAUUUAAAUCAAGAACCGUUGUUUGUUGACUUAAUAAACAAUACAUUGUAAUUGUUAAAACCUUCAAGAUGAUAUAAUCAAGAUGAAGACCUUUAAGAAUGGCAUGGAUUUCUUCAAAGAGAUGGAAAAAUAUAAAUCAUUUAAUAUCACAACCUUAAAAGAGACUUCCUAUGCUUGGUGAUUUUAUUGGAGGUAGGAAUGACUUCUAAUGGUAUAAUCAAUGUUUUAUUUAAAAGAAGUUAUAAAGGUUUUAACAAUAAUAAAAUAACAAGGUGAUCUUCUUGGCCUAGAAUGAGACAUUAUUAAUAUUUGAGAGGACAUAUCAACUAUUUUUAAAAGAAACAUUAAUUAGAGUAUGUGACAAAUAUAACUUGUUGCAUCUUAGACUUCAUCAAUAUGAGAUUACCUCUUUUUGUGAUACUCAUCUUUAGAAGAGAGAGUAAUAUCAUAGAAAUAUUUAUUUUAAUAAUUAUUUAGGUAAUAUAAAUAGAUAGAAGCAGAUAAAAGUAGAUUAAAUUAUGAUGUCUUAUAAAAAAAAAAAAAAAAAAAAAAAAAAAAACUUUCUAAAAGCUUUAUAGAUGUAUUUUUAUCUUUAUAUAUAUUAAUAAGCGAUUGAUAGAUUAAAAACUUGGCCUACAAGUUAUUUACAUGUUACAUGUGUUAGUUACUUGUAGAACAAGCUAACAAUAUGGCACACAUAUAAGAAACUUGUCUUGUAAGUUAGAUACAUAUCUUACAAAUUGAACACGUAUUUGAGGUCCUAUAGAAUAUUGCUACAAGCUCAUAAGUAUAUAAUAUAUAUAGAGAUAAGAAUGAAGCCUUCUUUACUCUUGUUAAUUCUUUUCUUACUUCCAAUCUAGUUUCAAGAGUUUUUAACUUCCUAAUCCUUAGAAAUAGCUACUCUAAUUUCUUAUUAAAUGUAUUUACUUUCUUAUUUUUAUUUUUUCAUCUAUCUUUGAUUCAUUUCUCACUUAUUUAUGUAUCUUCUUUGAAUUCUUGUCUUUAAUACAAGCAUCUAAGUAAUAAGUUUCUUUUAUGCAAAUUGAAGUUUAUGAGCUAUAGAAUGGCUUAUUAGAAAUAUUGAAGGCAUGUGAUUAUGUAUCUUAUUUCAAAAUAGAAGCAUCUCAAAGUAGAUAGUACUUUCUUUAUCUUUCCUUGAAUAAUAAGCAUAGCACUAGAAAAUUGCAAGACUAUAGCUAUGUUAAAACAAAGCAAGUAAACAAAGGAUUGAAAAAGUUUAGAACAUUGAUAAAGAAGGUAAUAAAGAAGGUAAAAUCAAGAUACUGAAAAUGUUGUACAAUAUUAUUGUUGUAUAUUGUAGCCAUUAAUUGUAUAAUAUUGUUAUCAAUCAUACUUCUAUGAUUGUAUAAUUUUCAUAUCCUAAUAACCGUGAUUAUAUCAAUUUAACUUUUGUUGAUGGUCAUGAUGAUAAAAAAGAGAUUAAAAAUCUACAUAUUAAAUUGUGAUGAUGAAUAGAUUGAUUUAAUAAAUAUUUAGGUUAAUUUAAUAAUUUCCUACAUAUGUUUCUUAUUUCAUUGUUAUACAUUAAAAGUGAAUUAAUAUAGUAUAUUGAAUAUUAAUAUAAGAUAUAAAUAUAUAAUUUAAUAAUCUUUUAUGAUAUGAAGGAUUAAAUCUAUUUUUUAAAGAAUUGUUUUAGUAAAAAUAUGUAAUUUUAAUAUCAUAAUAAUCUUUUGAUUUUGAAAUGUAAUAAAAUUUAUGGAUCUUUUAAUUUUUUUAAUAAUAAAUAAAUAAAUAAAUUUAUACUAUAUAAUUCAAUAUAUAUAUAUAUAUAUAUAUAUGUAUGUGUGUGUGUGUGUGUGUGUGUAUGUAUGUGUGUGUAUAAUUUGUUGAUUUAAAUAUGAUUUAUGAUACCAAAUGAUAUUAAUAAAAUCAUUUUUAUUUCCACAAAAUAACCAAAAUAUAUUUUUAAAUCAAGAUUUUUAAUUUAAGUGUAUUUAAUGCAAAUGAAAUAAAUUUAUAUUUUUAUAUAAAAUAUCUAGUUUUUUAGUAAGUAUUUAUGUGAUACUUAAGAUAUUUAUGUUGAUUAAAUUUUUUCUUAUUUAGACCAAUAAUUUUUUAUUUUUUAUAAAUUGAUUCAAGUUAUUAAAAAAUAAAUAAAUAAAAUAAAUAAAUAAAUCUUAAGAAAAAAGUUAAAUAAAUGCAUUUUUAUUUAACAAAAUUUUCAAGAAUUAGAAAAAUUAUAUAUAUAUGAUAUAAUUUUAAAUAUGUUGUAAAAUAUUUAUAUAACAUUUUUUAUAAAUAACCUAUAAUUAAUUUGUAUAGAUAAAUCUACUGAAUUGAUAAAAUUUUGCAUGUUGUAUCCAGAAGAAUUAAUUUUUAUACCUUUAGUUUUAAAAUAAUAAUAUAUGUUUACACCAAAAAAAAUUAUUUUACCAGGACGACCAUUUUAAAAAUUCAUAUUAUAUAUGGCAUGGCAUAGCAAAGUAGAGGAAAAAAUUAUAUCAUUAAUUUAUUAAAAAAUGACAACUCUAGCUUCUUACAUUCUUUUCAUAUAUUCAUAAACUUGUUAAUGUUCACUAAGAUAGGCAAGAAAGAAUAUCUAUGGAAUACUACUAUGGAAUACUACUAAUACCAACAUAGUUUUGCUAUUGCCACCACAAUCCUAUAAAAUUUUAAAUAGAAUUUUAAUCAAAAUGUUUUUUGUUACCUCCACCACAACCAUUUCAUCAUGGUUUAAUAUAUACAUAUAUUGGAAAUAUAUGUAUAUUGUUUUAUUGGAAUAGUAAAAGCUGAAAGAACAUGUUAAGUAGGUGGCAAGUUAUGGUGGCAAUAGCAAAUAUUGUGAAAGCAGUGGCAAUUCCUAUAUAUAUAUAUAUAUAUACAUAUAUACAUGUAUAUUAUUUUCAAUUUCACUCAGAAACUUUUGCAGUUCUAUCCAUUAGAAAGUUCAUUUUGCACAAAAAUCAAAAACUUUAAACAUAAAAUCAAAUAUUUGUCACAACCGGAGUGAAUCAAGCUUCAGAGACAUGGCAAAACGGGUCUCCGGACAUAUCGAGAUCUCGAUGUCGGUAACAAAUUCCUGCAACCAUCUUCAAGUAGACGACUUUCGGAGCAAUGAUCGGCAGUCUAAUGCUUUAAUAAGUAAGCCGAGGUUGAGCAAUCGAUCAUGUAGCUCACACUCUGAGGGGGGUUCCAGCCUCUCCAGUCAAAACAUUCCUGCUGAUGAAGGAUCAGCUUGUCUUAGAAGCAACAUUUCAAACACUACUGUGGAGAAUUUAGUUGUACGAGACAUCCAGAAUCUUCCUGAAUGCCUCGAUAGUUCCCAUUAUAGGUCUUAUUUUGAUCAGUCAACAAUGAGGGCGCCAAGUGGGUUGUGCCUGUUCGACGAUAAGGCGGUGCAUUGUUGGUUGCACUGAUCAGUGGUUUGGACUCCAGCGAAGAGAGAAUGUAGUUUGAAAUCCACCUUGUGUUGUGCUCUCUCAGUGGAUGCUUCCCAUGAGACCUAGCUAGAAUGCAAAGGACUGAAGGUGCGGUGUGUUUGUUCCAUGCCUCGCAGACGUAAAGUGUGACGUGAACGCUGCAACGUCACCUGAGACUGAUAUCAGGAGAUAAAUGAAUCGUUUUUAAUUUGGAAAAUGCACCAGUCAGCUGAUGUGACGCAUUAGUUGCGAAUUCGAGAUGCUCAUGGUCUAAACCUCUCAGAUGAGCCUUGGAUACUGAACAGAUUACAGGUUUAAGUACAGACCUCAGCGGGGAUCAGAUUCGAAAGAUUCUGGGUUUCAGUCGAGGAGGCUUAAUCAUUGUCACGUUGCAGCACCUCGUGAGUUUAGUACAAUUUUGUCACCUAGCUCGAUCGGAUCAACCUGAAUUUACUGGUCUGGUUGAUGCCGUGUAAAUGAAGAUUUAGCCGCAGUCAAUAUUCGACCACGAAUGACGAUCACCUACAUACGGACAUGUGCGUGUGUAGGAGUAUUUGUGAGUGUUUGUACAAUCUUAUCACUGGUAAGCAGUCGCCGUAGAGUGUUAAGAACGGCUUGGUCUCUGCCAUGGAUCAGAGUAACCAAUGUAUCGAGCAUGACAGGAGGAUGUCACGGUUCUGAGUUUCUUGAGAGGCCACACCCAAUUAAAUACCAAUUGACAGCUGGCAUCUUCAGAGCAGUAAAUCUAUUUGAUUGAUUAUGGUCUGAAAGAGGGAAACUGGACCUGAAAGGCCCAUCCUUCAACAAUUAAAAGAUUCCGUUUAAGUAUCCAUCGAUUUCAGGUUCUGAUCGGUAACGGGUCCUAACAAGUAGAUUCUACAGCCAUGCGCUCUGGGACAAAACAAAUUCUCCCAUGAAGACUAUCUCAUCUCUUAAGCAUGCAGGUUGACGGUUGUUUUCCUGCCCUUGCAGACGAUUGGCUAGCGUUGUGAAAUCCGUACGGUGUCGUUAUGGUUAAGUCUCUCCCUUCUCAAGACCUCUGCCAUCCUAGUGCUUUGGCAGAUGAAGUCCUCAGCACGUGAUGGUCCAAGUCUAAUUAAAACAAAAAAGAACAUAUAAUAAAGGCGCCAUCGAACGCGUUGUACGGAGCAUGGUGGGGCAUGGCUUCUGGUGGUUUCUGUUGCCUCAAGCGGCUCAAUCCAAUCUUAGACCCACUGUUGUAAUGUUGACGACAUUGUGGACCACCUAUUGACUGCCUGGACACGGAGUAGUGAACACUCUUCUUCACAAUCGCCAAGUUGAUAGCUAGUAACUGCUUCAUUACACAAUACCCCCGCCGUACACCACCUGCCGCAUACUACUUGGACUAGGAUUCUUGCUGCAACUUUAUCGCCUGGAAAUUCUUUGAAAAGUAAUGCUACAAUUGGGAUUGAGUUAGUGCUGUUCAAGCAAUUCACAUGGUAGGUUCGUCAACUUUUAUGGUAGGGGUGUGCUAGGUUUCGAACGAGCUGGUUUGAAAACAAAAGAUUCCAGAGAUUCUGGUGUUAUACGGCUUAAAUUUCGUAGUCUGUAGGAAUUAAUCGGAUGCGUUAUCUGCGCCCUACACAGGGUUCCUUCAUGCUGCUCUUGAUCUGUACGUGUAGAACGGAGACCAAGAACCUUCCUUUCCAAGGGUGCUGGAGUGAUUUGGAGUGUGGACUAAAUCUUCUUCAGUGGUGAUUGUAGGAACCCCUUCCUAGCCCUUGACUCACUUUCUCUGAUCCUUCUGUUCAGACUGAACAGCACAUGAACACCGUGUAGUGACGACUGCAGGGAAGUACGAGAGGCACAGUUAUAAGCAUGAAUGAAACAGCACUUCACUAAACUAUCCUUGUAUUUGGUUGUGCUGGUGUUUCCUCUUUCUUCAUCUGAGGGUUUCAUCUAGGCAGCUUAGAGCAGUGAAUAUUAUUAAGAGAUUGUAGCUCCACUUGCACUGAAGUUCCUACACAUUCACUCAAAAGAAGCUCGGGAUUAGUAUGAGCAGAACGGUGGUUUUGUCGGAAUAGUCGUCUGAGUCGACUAGUUCCUGUGUGACGCCUCUUUGGGAAUGAAGACUAUACAUGUAACUAUUGUGAAUUUUUAUCAGUACUACAACGAUUCCUCAGAUUCAGUUCCUGGUCUCGGCCGCAAGGUCAUUGAAACUGGGUGAUAGAUUCUUUCCGAUCUGAGACUUGUGCGCAGUGCAGUAACUGUUUGUUAGUGUCGAGAGUUCACCUAGUAUUGACCAUCGACCACUUGCGGAUUGGUUUUCUCGGAGGCUCACUCUCAACAAUUCAUUUCACUUUGGAGUGACAGCCUUUCCAAUUUUUUAUCGCGUCCGGUAUGAUUGUGUAAUUUUUGUCAUUCUGGAACAUUGAGCCACAUCUCUCCAUUCGACAACACUCUGAGACUGUUGGUUGCAGUAUCACCCCUAGUUACUUCCUCCAACAAAAUUUAAUUUAGGGUUAGGUUUUGACGAACUCCAGCAGGAUGCAUCGAAACAAAGUCUACGGUCAUGCAGAAUGGGCCAAGCACAAGUCAUCUUGGAGACAUGGUCGCCACCUCAUGAGUAUUUUAUCUUCAGGAGUGAUUUCUGCCGUGGGUCCUCCUGUGUUAGCCUGCACUUUACUCGCUACUUUCGUGACCGUCUUCAACUAUUUUGUGAAAGUUGGGCGGUUACCGAAUUGGAUCCCAAUCUUAGAGGUGUCGUCCCUUCCUUUCACUCUGACAUCAUCAGUGCUAUCACUUCUUCUAGUCUUUCGAACAAACUCUUCCUACAACAGGUUUGAUGAAGCACGCAAGAUCUGGGGAUCAAAUGUGAACCGAACCAGGGAUCUGGCACGACAAGCUCUGUCAUGGAUCCGGAGCCCGGCAGACGCAUACAAGCUAUCGUGUCUUCUGCGACACAUCAAGGCCUAUCCAUUCAGCCUGAAAGACCAUCUUACGGAAGACUUCAUCCUCAAGGACGAGCUCGACCAAAUCCUCGAACCACAGGAACUGGAGGCGCUCAUGGCUACCAAGCACAGACCGAACUACAUCCUGCAGGUUCUCUCGGAGCUCGUCGACAAGUGCAACCUCUCAGAGUGGGAAAAAAUGGCAAUGGACGAAAACAUUACAACAUUUCACGACAAUGUGGGUGCUUGUGAGCGGAUUCUGAAGACACCGAUCCCACUAGCAUACACGCUAGUCACGUCCAGGUUUCUGAUUCUGUGGCAUCUAGUUCUACCCUUCGCGCUCUGGGCAACAUGCCACUGGCUCACCAUACCUGUCACAUUUUUGACCGCUACGGCCCUGUUCUACAUCGAAGAAGUGGGAGUUCUGAUCGAAGAGCCUUUCUGGAUUCUGCCACUGUUGUCGAUAAGCGACGGCAUUGUGGCAGCACUAGACGGAUUAGCUGCGGCGCACAAGACGUCCUCGCUGUUGUGGAGACUUCAUCAGCCUAAUAAAGACCAUGUUGUGCAGAUCACGUUUGAAACUUCGAGAUCUGAUGGGUUUCGCAAGAGCCGCGACGUGGGUCACGUUUUGUUAACGAGAAUGAACUCCAUUGCCUGAGGAUUCUUUCAAUGUACACUAGAAAUACAGAACUAGAAAAUCCUCCCAUUUUUCUGAUUCUGAGACCUCUUGAUACCACCAAAGCAUUAAAUUAUCAUGCCUUGAUAUGGUAAGACUCCGCUUCUAGGUUUCGAGUUUUCUCUUCGGCACAUUCUGAUCUAUUCUAAUUGUAUACAUUUGCACAAUUCUGCAAUGCAAGGCUUCACUUCAAACUGAGCUCAUUUGUUCCAUUUUUGAUCUUGUAUAGAUGAUAUUUUUUUUAUUUUAUUUUUUGUUUUUGAUGUUGUUCUUUGAGUAAUAUUAUGCUGAAUCAUUUACUAGUUUUUGAAUUGCUUUCAUUUUUUCCCUUUUUUCUUUCACAUGAUUGCAUAUGGUAAAUAAAUGAUUGUUUUAUUAGAUGUAUUUUUAUUAGAUGUAUAUCUAAUAUUUCAUUGUUUGCAAUUUCAUUGUCUUCAAGAUUUAGGUUGUUUAUAGAAUUUGUAUGGCUAUAGAAAAAUUAAAAGUUUAAUUUAAGUUUUUCAUAAUGUCAAUUUAAAAUAAGAUGUUUAAAUUAAAAGUAUAUAAUGAUGUAAUGAAAUGAUAUAUGGUACAAAGUAUCUAUUUAAUAAGUGUGUAAAUUUUAGUGAAUAAUAUACUACAAUAUCAAAUGUUCUAUUUCUAUAAAAUGCAUAAAAAUUAUUGGAUUAAUUUUAAUUUCAAUUUUAUUAUUUAAAAAAAUAUAAUAGUUAGUACAUUUAUGUAGGAUUUGAAUACUACCAAUAUUCUAAAUUCUACAACUUAAACAAUUCAAUAAGCACCAAAUGUAUUGAAAACCAAAAGCAUGUAAUUUAUCUAUCAUUUAAAUCUUGAGUAUAAAAUUAAAAUACAAAGAAAAAAAAAUUAAACAUUAAAAAUUAUUUUUUGGAUCAUAUAUCUAUAAAUAAAUAAAAAAUAGAAAAAAAAUAAAGAGAAGAUCAUAGAAAUGGAAGGUUGCAAAAAAAUUGUCAUAUUGAAGAUAUAGUUGGAAUAUUAGAGAGAUUGGAAUUAAUUAAUCUUACAUUAUUUUUGGAAUUGAUAAGAUUUUAGUGGUAGAACACAUCUAUGGCAGAUAUAGUAAGAAAUCAAAUCUUGAUAAAAUUGAUGCUAUAUCUAGAAUGAAGGCUUGUAAAAGUAUUAUAGAAGCAAGAAGGUUUUUAGAGGCAUAUAUAUUUUAUUACAUUUGGGUGCUUCACUUUGCCUAUAUCUCAGAGCCGCUAUACAAGCUAUUGAAGAAGGAUAAGAGAUUUGUUUGAAAAGAAGAAUAAGAGAUAGCUAAAGAAAAUCUAAAAAAUAUUUUGAGUUCACCACUUAAACUUAAGCAAGGAAAUUAUUAAUAAAUAAGACUAGUGGUUGUAAUAGUAGAUACAAGUCCCAUAGCAAUUGGAUGGCCUAUUGAACAAGAUGAUAUAGAAGGAAGAAGAUUUAUUAUAAGAUUUGGAGCCAAAGUUCUUACAAAGAGGCAAAGAACUUAUCCGCAAGUUAAAAUAGAGCUUUGAGGAGUACUUACCCCUCUAAAAGCUUAGAGAAAUUAUUUCAUUAAGCAAGUAUGAUUUUGGAAAGAAAUUGUAUGCCAUUACUUGGAAUAAUAAUUAAGUAUAUUAUUCCAAAUAUUACCAUGCUAAGAUGGAUAGCCUAUAUAAGAAUAUUGAACCUUAUUUUAAUACAUAUUAUUAAUAAAGAGAACUUGAUAACAGAUAUAUUGUUUAGAAUUAGGUAUACCUUAGAAAAAGAAAUGAUGGCACAUGAAAGAGGUGAAGAUGAAGAAAAGAAGAGCUAUAGGAAUUUAUUUGCUACUAGUAGAAUGGAUUCUAGUAAUGAGAUUCAAAAUUUCUAUAAAGAUUUGUAUGAAUGCAAAUUCAAGGAUAUUGAAAUUUAUUUGAGAAUAAUGAAGAAACAAGAAGGAUGGAUGGAUAAAAUCUUCAAAGAUAUUAGACACCAAUCCUAUAUUUAUCUGUUUAAAGAUGGAUUUCUAUAGAAGAAGCCAAAAAGAGGUGACAAUAUUCUAUUGAAUAUAAUAUGAGACUUUGAAAUUAAAUUUUAAAUUUUAAAAGAAUAUCAUGAUAUACUUUGGACAAGACACAAAGGAAUUUAGGCCACAUAUACUAAGAUGAAAGAAAGAUAUUGGUAGAAGAGUUUAUACAAGGAUAUAGAAGACUUUAUGAGCUUAUGUAUAGAGUGUUAGUGAUAAUCUAAAUUUAGAUAUAGAGAUGGAUUACAUCCUACUUAUCCACCUUUUAUAUAUUUUUAAUUGAUAAUUGAUUUGGUAGCUAUGCCAUCAAGACUUCAAAGUAUAAAAUAUUUAGUUUUGGCAAGAAAACAACUAUUAAAUUAUAUUGAAAGAAAGACUUUGAGAACCAAGACUAUAGAAGUAUUAUACAUAUUUAUAUUGAAAGACAUCUUCAAUAGAUAUAGUAGCAUUGAGAGGAUGAGAGCUAAUAGAAGAGAAUUGGAUAUUAUUGAAGUACGAGAAUUUUUUAGAAGAUAUGGAAUUUAGAUCAAAUUGACUAUUUUUUAUAAUCUUACAGCCAAUAGAAAGAAUGAGAGGGAUUAUCCUCCUAUUAUUUAUGCAUUGAUUAAAGUAAGUAAGAAUAAGCCAAUUCAAUAGCCUAAACUACUUCUAUUUGCUUUAUCGGCUAAUAGAACUACUCUUAAUAAAAAAAAAAAUUAUUAAUAUCAUCUUUUGAAGAUAGAAACAUUCAUGUAAAAUAGGUUUCUUCAGUUGGCAUUAUAGGUUUUUGUCCUAACAUUAAUUCUAUGGACAUAUAAUCAAUAACAAUAUUAUUAGAGCUUCAAAUUUCACAGUUGAGAAGGUUAUGUGAAGACCUACAAAUUUUAGCUAAGAGGUUAAAAGAAGCAAGAUUAAAAAAUAAAGAAAAGUUUGACAAAAUUCACAGAUUGAGGCCUAAGGCUGUAGAGAUUAGAGAUUAGAUUUUAGUUUAUGAUAGUAGCUUUGAACAUCAGUACAAUAUUAUAAAGAAAUUUGCAAAAAAUAGUUUGGACUAUAUAUGGUAGUUAUAGUCCAUGAUAAUGCCACAUAUAUCUUACGUGAGUUAAAUGGAGCUAUCAUUAGAAUUCUAGUAGCAAAGAAGAAGAUGAAGGCUUUGAAGAGAAGAGAUAGGCGGUUCAAAAAAAAAAAAAAAAAAAAAAAAACUUGAAGAAUUCUUACUUCAAUAUUUGGACUAAGAAUAUGAAGUAGAAGAACCUAUGAGUGAGUUAAAGAAAUCUCAAGAGGGUGAUGAGGAGAAGCUCAUAGCACAUACCAGAAGAUGUGCAAAUUUGGAGGAGGUAGAUGUUAUAUUACAAUUGCUUAUAGUAUGUAAAAAUUAAAUAAAAUAUAUAAUAUGUUUAUAAGUCUUGAUGUAUAUUAAAAUGGUUAGUAUGUUAAUUUAAAAAGAGUUGAUGUAAGAAAAUUUAUUUUAAAAUUUACCUAUUUUUAUUAUAAUAUUUAAAUUAUAUAAGAUUUAGAUAUUUAGUAUAAAGAUUUAGAGAAGAUAGGAGCUCGAAGAUGAAGAUCCAAACUACUAAGUAGCUUAUUUGGAAGGAUAAAAGCAUGAUAUAGGCAAAUGAAGAUAAGGGAUGAAGGUCUUCAUCUCUAUUGGUCAAAGGCCAUGCCUAAUAGGAUUUAAGUAGGCUACUUAUGACCAUAACAAGGAUUUAAGCAACUUCAAAAGAAACAUUGAAGAAUUAGAAGCAAAGAUUAUAAUAUUUGGAAUUUGAAAUACAAUUUGUAUGAAAAUUUUAAAAAGUUUGGAAUUAGAAUGAAGUUAUAGCCAUUUGAAGUUAAGGUAUCUUUUAAGACAUAUUGUUACUCUUUUGAAGAUACAAGAAGUUAUAUGAUAGUUUUUAGAAAUUAAGAGCUGUGGCUAUAAAGGCGAUUUGAAGACCUACAUUUUUUACAAAAGAAUUGUUAUAUUUGGAGUUUAUAUGAAGAAAAUAUAGAGCAUUGAAGACAACAUAUGUAAUUCAAAGGGAAGACAAUUUUAUAUAUAAACUUAGUACUUUCUUAUUUUGAGACUUGAUUGAGCAAUUAGUGACAAUAAGAAGCCCAAUGCUUUCUUGAGGCAACUCUCUCUAUUCCAAUAGUAGAUUGAUGUAGAUCUGAAAAUUUUGUGGCUAAAUAUAUAUAUAUAUAUAUAUAUAUAUAUAUAUAUUUGAUGUUGUUGCAAUAGAUUUCCAUCUACUUCUUGUUCUUUGGUUUUGAAAUAAAAGUAUGGUGCUAUAGAAUUUUUUGCAAUAUUAAUUGAUAGUUUGACACCUAAAUAGUCAAUUUUUAUAAAAUUUGUAUUAGACAUGGUAUAUGCGACCAUUGCAAUUGAGCCAUAGUGUAUAUUGAUAAAAUUUGGUUUUUUUUUUCUCUCAUAUUCUAAUUCCUAUUUUAGACUUUUUAUGGUUUUUAUUCAAAUUCUAGUUUCUACUGGCAUUAUUUUUUUUCUCUUUCUUUCAUUUUCUACUUGAUUCUUUUUCAUGGUGGUUUAAUUUCUCUUAAAAAAUUAUUAUAGUGAUCAUCUUUUGAUCCUUCUAUACUAAUGGUGAUUGUAGCAUAUUGCAUUGAAUUUCUAAUAGUUAUAGUGGCUAGUUGUGGAUGUAAUCAAGCAGUUUAUCUUUGCUUCUAGUCAUUUGUAUUUUAUACUAAAGUUUUUUUUGGUUGUCUUGGAAUCUAGUGGUAUAGCAUGCUUACAAUCCAAAAUUCCUUCUUACAAUUGUGAUGUGAAUGUUCUUAGGCUCUAGCAGAGUAUUAGUUUAUAUUUUAUAAAUCUUAUCAUUGAUAUGUGCAACAAAAAAAGAAGGUUUCUAAUAAGAUAUAUGUGGUGACUAUAAGACAUUGAACUUGCUUUUGAAUCAAAAUUCUUGCCUUUUAUUAAUCUUAUUAUAGUAGAAUCUCUUCUUAAACCACUCUUGUUAUAAAUGACGUCCUAUUGCUCUUUUAUUUUUAUUUUUUUAUUUAAUUUUUUUUCAUUGAAGUUUUUCUUCUUGGCCAAAAAUGUACUUUUUUUGGUUUUCAUAUAGUUGCAAAAUUCCAUGGCUACAAUUUGGAGGUUAAGACUAUUGGCUCAUGCAAUUAUAUAAGCCUUGAUUGUACCUCAACCUAGAAAGAGCAUCAUCACUAGUAGUUUCAUCAAAGAACAAAUUAGCCUUGGAUGUAGUGGAAUUCAUGUCUCUCAUUUGCAAUUAGUAGAACCAAGCCAUUCAUUCUUAGUAAUAUAUUACUUACAUAGUUUGGGAGAAGUGCAUAAAAUCUAAUCAAAGUAGAUUCUAAAUAAGUUGUAUUAUCUUUCAAAAUCAUUUUUUGUUAUAGCUUUAUAUAUCAAUAUUGGAGGACAAACAAUGAACAUCUCAUUCAAGCAAGAUUCCUUCAAGGAGAUCAAAUGGCCUUGAGCCAUCUAAUCUCAUUACCUUGUAGCUCAAAGUUAUUAUUCGAUAGAGAAGUGCCAUAACAUUGGAAUUGUCUUACAAGGACUACAAUAUUAGAAAGAUCAUGAAUUCCUUAUUGCAACUAGAGCAUAUAGAGUUGAAGAAGCAAUAAUGUAUUCAAAGGCCAAAUAGAAGAUUUGAAAUACUUCACAAAAGCCAGGUCACAAACUGUAGAAGAGUACAAUGAUUCAAGAGCUAAAAUUAACAUUAAACAUCAAAUUUAGACGAGACAUCAAGAUUAUAUGAUUGAAUUUGGAUUAAAUAAAAAUAUUUUAUAUUAAUUUAAAUAAAUUGGAUUAAAUUAGUUCAUUUGUGGAUGAAUUAGAAUUUAAAUGGAAGAAAUCUUAUUGAUGAGUAUUAAUUAAAAUUAGAUAAUUUUUUAUUUAUGGAUGAAAUUUUAUUUAAAGAUAAAAAAAUUCUUUGGAUAAAAAUUUAACUUUGAAUGAUAAUCAAAAUUAAAUAAAAAAAUAAUUAAAAAAAUAAAAACUAAAAUAAAAACUACAUAAAAUUAAAAUUAAAUCAUAAAAAAAAAUCUUUAAAGUGUAUAUAGAAUAGAAGUAUUUUACAUUGUUGUAUUAUUGUUGUAAAUGUGUAAGUGAGAAUAUUAAUUAGUUAAGAGAAUUAUACGUCAUUGAUAAGAAGUACAAGCAUAAUUUAGUUAAUCAAAUUAUAAGUAGCUAAUAGUCAUAAAUUAGGAUAAUUUGCCUAUUAAAGGACUUUAUAUAAUUCACAGUUAAAGAAAUAUUAGAAUAAUUGGAUACAAGAGUUUUUAGAAUAUUUAAAAAAUUAAUUUUUUUUAAAUUGGAUUAAAUAUCUAAUUAGUAGAAAUUUAUUUUAAUGCACAACAAUCUUUAUUCUCCUUCUUUGUCAAACUUUAGCACUGAGUGAGGUUUUAUAUAAUGUAUUGUAUUAAAAAGUAUUAGAAAGAGCUUGCGCAAAAGACAAGCUAUGCCAAAGGCUAGAUGAAGCAAUCUCAAAACUCCAUGGUCAUCCAAGAGAUGUUAAAUAGUAAGCUUUGCUACCCAAUACCACCAACCUCUUGCAGCAAUUCAAAGUCUGAAAAACAACGGGGUAGGAAUUGAAGGCCAAGUUGAAGUAGCAAAAGUCAGCAAAUAAAUGCUCAAAAGCAUUCUUUAAGAUCCAUAGAGAAAGAUUGGGUACAUUUUAGAUUAAUGAGCUAAUGGACAAAUUUGAACAGGUGCAUAGCAACUCAGAUGUAUUAGCUUAUAUUUGCCAUAAAUUCUAUAGUUCUUUAUAUAAAGAUUUACCUACUUCUAAAAUCAUGAUUGAAACAAUAUAGCAAGUAAUGAUUGACCUUACAGAUUGAUUAACUUCCAAAAAAAAGUAUGUUUAAGCAAACCGCUUUCUUUAAUAGAAAUUACAAUUGCUAUAAAGAAAAUGAGGAAAAAUAAAUCUUCUUGGGUAAAUAGAAUUAUUCUUGAAUUUUACAUAGCAUUCUAGAUUAUUAUAGGUCUAAAAUAUUUAAUUAUAUUAUAAGGGAGCAUUCAUAAAGGUAGGUUUUUUUUAAGGAUAACACAAGGCUUGAUUGCUUUAAUAUACAAAAAAAGUAUAAGACAUGACUUUACAAAUUAGAGAACUAUUAUUGUCCUUAAUAUUGAAUACAAAAUCUAUGCAAUAAUUAUACAACUAAGGCUACAACCAAUUUUGAUGAAUAUUAUUAGUAUGGAUCAGUUGGCCUUUUUAUCUAGUUAUUUUUUCUUAGAUAACUGGUUAUUCCCACAUAAAACUAUGGCAUAGGUGGAAAAAUCAAAGCAACUUUUUUUAAACAAAAACUUGACUUUUCAAAAGCAUAUGACAUGGUUGAUUGGAAAUUUUUCUUUCACAUAAUAGAGACAUUAGGACCUCUAAAAUAAUUUAAUCACAUAAUUAAGUUAUUAUUUAAUAAUACAAAGGCAUGUGUGAAGAUUAAUGGUACACUUUCUAAACCUUUUAAGAUUGCAAGAAGGAUGAGAUAAGAUUGUCUACUUAUUCCUUAUCUAUUCCUUAUAUUAGCAAAAGUUUUCAAUAUAAUGGUCAUGAAUUAAGUUAGAUUAGGACUAAUAAAAAGAAUACAAUUAUUUAUGAACCAAAGACAACAAAUUAUGGCUCAAUAUGCUAAUGAUACAUCUUUGACUCUUAGAAGUGAAGAAAGAAAUAUAAGACAAGUUAUUUAUAUACUUCAAAUAUUUUGUAUGGGCUUGAGACUCAUUUUGAAGUGGAAUAAAUUAAGUGGCUAUUAGAAAAGUGAAUACUUAUUAGACCACUAUGGAUAAAUGAGCUAGGCAUCACAUGGACUAAUAGAAAUAAAGUGAAUAAACUAUUAAAAGUACUAUUUGAUCUAUCUUUAACAUCAAGUAACUAUGAUUCAUUCUUUCAUAAAAAAAUCAAUAAAAAACUAAGCCAUUGAUGCUCAAUAUCAAUAAAUGCCAAUAAAAAGGAAUAAUUAUAAAUAAUAUUUUUUAUCUAUCAUCUUCUAUUUUAUCUCACUUUAGAAAGAAAUAAAAAAGAGUGUAUCAAGGAUCAAAUCAUCUCCUAGUAAUUAUCUUGCAUGAUGAAACAAUUCAUUGGACUUGCAAUAAGGUCACAUACCUACACUAUUGCUAAUCAUUUCAUAAGGAAGAAAUUUACUUUAUUAAUUUGAUAGAUGUGAUGAUGGUAUUGUUAGGUAAAUGGAUUGUGAAAGCUAUAGAACCAUUGAGUUUUAAUUUAAAUAGUAUGCUAAGAUAUCAUCUUAGUAAAUUCUAAUCAUACUCUAAAGAAAAAUGGCAACCAAGCUUUGAAAUGUUUACUCUUAAGAAGCAUCAAAAUACAAAAGAAUCAAAAGUAAGGAAUAGAAUUGGAUCAACAUGGAAGAACAUCCUUCUAGAAGUAAUUUUCCUCUUUCUUAUAUGCCAUAAAGAGUGGAUGAAUUGUAACAUCUGCCAUGAUCAAGAAAUCAUUAGUAUUGGACUUGAUAUUUCAUAUAAAAAAAAUUAAAAUAAAUAAAAUAAAAUAAAAAUACAUAACCAUGGUCUUAAAAAAUUUGGAGACAUAUGGAAAAACAAUAAUUUUCUUUCUUUCAUGGAGGUUAAAACUUGCUUUGGGCUUGAGCAAAAAAAGAAGGUGCAUGGACAACCAUUGCCAAUUGGAUAUUCUAAUAAAAACACAACUCAUCUCUAAUCCAACACAAGAGUUGCAUGAGAGUGAAUGGAUAGGUGCUUUAGUAAAUGAAGCCUCCUAGACCUCUUGGUGGUUUGACAAACCAAUGAUACAUACCAAGCAAACCUUUGAGCAAUGAAAUUUUGAAUUCCUUCAUGUAUGUGCAUUUACAAACCAAGUAGGAGAACUCUCAUAUUGUACAAACUUCAUCAUUAGGAAAGACUUGUACUAAGAAUUUGUAGACAGAAAGAAAGAAAGAAAAAAAAAAAAAAAAAAAAAAAAUAGGCACGUACAUCACAGAUAAUUUGUAGCCAAUAAGAAUAAUAUCAAUAAUAAGAAGGAAAAAAUAAAAGAUAUUCUACCUAUGUUGUGGAAGAAUUGUUUGGUUGGUAUGGAACCCUGACUAAUAUCAGUGGUUUGGACAAAUACUAUUCAUGCAAUAUUCUGCUCAACUAGGUCGCACCUUGUUCAAGAAGCUGCAUGUGGUAUCAAGCAUAAUUUCACAAAAGUAAGAAGACAUACUUCUAUAAGGAUUCAAAUUCAACAAGGUUAACGUUUGAGAUGUUUGAGAUGUCAAAAGAUUAACAAAGGAGGCAAGUCUUCUAGGGCUAAUAUAGCACAUGGCAGUAGGGGUGAACUCAUGGCAAAGGCAAGUUAAUAGAGACAUAGAUGAGUGAUGUCUUAUGUAUAUGCAUGGAGGUGAAAAACAGUGUUACAUAGGUUUUAGGAAUGUGAUUCUACAUCCAGAGCAUGGAAGUAGAGGACCCAACUACUCACUCCAACUAUCAUUCAAUAAGUGAGACAAGGACAGAGAGGCAAUGGAAUUACAAACAAUUUGAACCAUAGGGCUGAAGCACAAAGAGCACAACUUGUUACUACAGAAAGAAAUGACUUGGGAAUUUGAUAUAUACAAUUCACUCCAUCAUGGAUACAUUGUGUAUUUGCAUAUUGGAUCCCUAGGCGAUAUUAAAAAAAAAAAAAUCAAUCAAAUUUGGUUAUUGAUAUGAGGGAUUGUUACAUGGGUUUUGUGGAUUGAGUGAAAUGAUGUUGUAAUCAAUGGAGUAAUAUGGACAAGGAAACAAGUGUAUCAUUGAAUAUGGUUACAAUUGGUAGACUAUGGAAGAAAUGUGUGGUUUAGACUCCAGGAGAACAUGAAACAUAGAUAGCAUCACACAGCUGAAUUUGUUAAGCAAUUUUGCCAAUUGUUGUGUACAAACCAAGUGGUGGCAAGUUGGAGGGUAAAUAAGCCAGAGUGGAAGUUAUCAUGGUAAGAAAGGCUGUAGGAGAUAGUUUUUCUUUUUUCUUUACUGUAAUCUAGCCCCCUGGCCGGACCUGGCUGGGGAUAUGAAACUUGCUACCCAGAAAUUCCUCUAUUUGUGUCAAAAAAAAACAAAACAAAACAAAACGGGGGGCUGGACACUUUUUCGUCGUAGGGAUGUGUCCCAAGCAAUUUGGGGGUGUGUCCCUAGUGGGGGCCCAUAGAAAAAAACAGCAUAAUAACAUGAGAUUAAGAUAAACUGUCAGUAGUUGCAGAUGCAGGUCGCAUUGGUACAUAAAACAAUAAAAGUGCAAGACUAAAUUACACUAUGUGGAGUCAACUCGGAGCCAGGAUUCAGUCAACAAAUAUCUAUCCAUGUGGCCCAAGGAACCGGACCACGAGGCUGUCUGGAGGCGAUGCUGUGUCUGCGAGAACUCGCGUUAUUUCGGCCACAUUUUCUCCCCCUCACCUGGCAACAAUCAUGCUGUCGAGUUUUUCCACACCUAUCAUCAAGCUUUCGGUAUUUCAAACCCAGUUCUAAACUCACUGGCACGCAUCGACAGAAAUGUGUCUUUAAACGAGGCCUUUAAUCAACGGCUACUUCAACUCCACCAGCUGCAGCUGCAGGUCGACAUCGAUUGCAGUAAAAGCAGCUUUCCAGCUCCGCGUGACAUAACCUCACCAGCAACUUCCACCAUCGCUGCUAAGACCCCAGACAAGGCGCGUAGUCUGGAGCUCAAAAGGUGGAGAGUAAUUGCUGCUUGAGGUGUCACCAGGUAGAAAGUUGGAACGGGACAUCUUCAGUACAUGUGUGACUGUGUUCUUUUCCUUGUUUGGCUGAUACGGUGCAAGGUUGAUGUAUUUUGCCCUGAUUCGUAGGUGUGCCGGAAUUUUAAUAGACGGUAACUACCUAAUGCCCGCGGGCUCUAAGGGAAAUCUCGUCGUCCUGCACAUAUAAGAGCUUUACAAGUGUCGAUUGGGAACUUGCAUCAUUUGCUUAUUGUUGGUUCCAUUCUGGAAGUGCAGUGGGAGAGAACUUGAUCUUUGGCCACAAAUUCACAAGAACUUCAACCAGCAGAGGACUUGGUUCUACACUUCGAUUCAUGAGCCUGAAUUUAUGGAUGCUGCUGUUUGUUGACGCGAUUUUCUUCACAACUCAUCGAAGCAAUAAAUGGUCGACUCAAGAUUGAUUAUCCUGCACUCUCCUACAGUCUCUUACAUUCUUUCCUUAUACUACGAGGUCAUAUUUUUUUAGUCCAGCAGCCUCUGGAUAAUCAAUUUUUACUUAACUCUCGUCUUAUCAACAACAGCAUUGUUUUUUAUUAUUAUUAUCUUUCUUAUUCCUCUUGAGCAACAUGCGCAACCUCGAAACCAUCUGCUCAAGAGAAACGAUGCUCACAUGUCAGAAAAAUUAAAAACAUUGGGCUAUCACUCUCCAGAGUAUCACUCAUGGACGGAAACGUAGAGCUAAAGCCAUGAUCCAGUUAUCCUUAUUUCCAGAUCUCUGCCACAACAUUAUCGACGUACCAAAUCCAAGCAACACUUGGCAAGCUCUUAGCACCAUGUUCAACAUGAACACCAUAUUUGAUAUCAUGAUUGUAUUAAAUCGCUAGGAAAAUAUUUGAAUGAGAGAUCAUUCAAACAUGUGGCAACAUUCAUGUAGUAGAUAAACCAAUAUGUGGAAACAUUCAUGUAGUAGAUAAACAACACAAACCAUCAAACAAAUACCAUCUAACAAAGUUUUAGUGCAAAGAAUUUUCAAUUUGUUACCGAGUAAAUUUAAUAAAUUAGUAGUUUAAAUCUAGUCCAUGAAAGAAAUUCUCAACUUCCAAGAACUUUGAAACAAGCUCCAUAUGGAAGAAACCAAUGCUCUCUUAUAAUGAUCACAUGACACCUCAGAAGAAGCAUUGGUGAUGCAUAUAAGAAACCAAUAUAAAAGGAAGUAUCAUCAAAAUAUGUCUUCUUCCAAUAGCCCAUAGUGAAUUCAACACCUAUAGUAGCACCCUCCAAGAGGAUUAAUCCUUAUUAUUGUUGUGGCAAGAUUAGGCAUAUUUCAAGACAUUGCUAUGCUCCAACCUUAAUGCCUUCUUUCACAAAUCAAUACAAAAAUAAUUCACAGUCCAAUGCCUUUCUACAUAACAACAAUCUAUAAUCCAUUUUAUAAUUAGGCAUCAAUAUGACCAAAGAUCUUUUUGGCAAACAAGUUUUAUCCAAUCUACAUGAACCUAGUGAUAGUAAAAUUCUACAAGCCCUCCAAGUUCUCUCCAUGAGCAAAUCAGAUUCCAAUUGGAUUUUAGAUUCAAGAGCGUCUAGGCAUUUUUUGAAAGAUGACUCUAUUUUUUAAGAAGUCGACCACGUCCAUGGAUCCAUAGUUACAUCCACAAGUGGUCACUUCUAUAUAAUCAAAAGCAAUGGAAAGAUUGAUCUAUUCCUAUAUAAUGAUGAAAUAAAGACAUUAAAAGAUGUUUGCUAUGUACUUAGGCUAUAUCAAAAUAACUUAUCAAUAGGUCAGAUAAUUGAGUUUAAAAAUCUAUGUAUAUUUUUUCCAACAAAAUACAAUAUUAUAUCAAUCUAAAAACUAUAUCAUAUUAUUAUAAAAGGAUCAUGAGAUAAAAACAAUGACCUACACAACCUUGAUUACUUCUCAAAAAAAAUUGAAAGCUCACUCUUAUACCUAGUACAUAUCAAUACUCACUUUAAAAUUAACAAUUUUUCUAUGGAAGAAAAAUCACUAUUAUGACAUAAACAACUAGUUCAUUUAAACUACUAUAAUUUUUUAGCACUCUAGAAUUUAGUUGCAAGUAUUUUAAAGUUUUUAGUUUUAAGUCUCAACUACCUCACAUGUCAUAAUAUAAAACAGACUAAAAUCAAUAUACCAUAAUAGUCACUAAAACAAGUAUCCUCUCUACUCACUAUCAUCUAUACAAAUGUUUGCAAGUCUCUUCCUAUAGAAUCUUUUAAAUAAAAUUGCUAUUCCUACUACUCAAAAAUGAGUAAAUUUAUUUUUUUUAGAUUUAUAUUAUAAAAACAAAAAAAAUCAAACUAUGAGCAUGUUUCAACAUUAUCACAAUAUGAUCAAAAAGCAAACCUCACAUUGCAUCUUAUGUGUGUAAUUUAAUUAUCAUGGAGAAUUCACCUCUUCAAAAUUUGAUUGAUAUAUUUGGAUUCAUGGAAUCUUCAUAUGACAAUUAAGUGUUGCUUGAACAUUCCAACAAAACAAAGUCUCAAAGAAAAAAAAAAAAAAAAAAAAAAAAAAAAAAAUGAUCCCAAUUGAGUUUGUACUAUGUUCUUUAAUGGACAUGUGUCUAUUUUUUUGUGGGCCAAAAUAGCCCACAUUACUAUAUAGCUUAUGAAUUCUAGUCCCACUAAGUUUAAUAAUAGAAAGAUUCUUUAAAAAUUAUUAAGAGGUAAAUAAUCAAAUCUCAAUAAAAUUAGGAUUUUUAGCUAUAUUUGUUUUGUGCAUCAAGAUUAAACAAAAAGACACAUACAAGAAGCUUGAUCUACUUGAGGAAUUUACCUAAGCUUAAAUAAUAUUUCUAAAUGCUAUAGAAUUUAUUUACCAAAUUUUCAAAAAAAUUAGAUCAUAUAUAACGUCUCAUUUAGCAAAGAUAAUUUUUUCACUCAAGAAUCAUAGAUCAAUGCCUUCUACAUCCUUGAACCAUCACCAAUUGUCCAUUGGUAUAGCAACAUCAAAAUCCAUCUUAAUGCUCAAAAUCCAUAUCAAGACCAACAAAUAUUUUUCACCUAAUCUAAAUUCUAAUAUCAAAGAACCACCUCAAACUAAAACUUAGGUUCUUCACAAUACAUAUAUUCUUUCAAAAAAUCAUAAUUCAAAAGGAACAUCACUUCAUAAAAAUUCACCACCAAUAGCAAAUUUUGCACUUUACUUACUUGAUUUUAAUACAAUAGAUGGAUGACCAACUUCUAAAGAAAUCAAUAACAUAUUCUCAUAUGUAAAAAAUGAUAUCGAUUUACCUCAAUCAGAAUAACUCCAUUCUUCUACAUCUUCUAAACUAUUGAAUUAAAAUUUUUGUAUCACCAAAUGUCUAGCUUGGCUAUAAGAUUAUUUUUGUAAAUUUUUAGACCUCUCUAUGUAGCCAAAAUCAUACUAUAAAACAGCUCAAGAUGAAGGAUAGAUAAAUUCAAUGAUUAAUGAGAUAAAAUCUAUUCAUGACAACAAGACAUGAUCAAUCACCAUUCUUUUUUUAGCAAAUUAAGUUAUAUCAACCAAGUAGGUGUAUAAAGUAAAAAUAAAAAUUGAUGAUACUCUACAAAAGAAAAAAUCACUAUUAGUUGUUUGUGGUUUUAACAAUAAGAAAGAAUUCACUACAAAAAAAAAAUUCUCCAAUAGUCAAAUAGGACACCAUAUGAAUGCUCCUUGCAAUAUUUGAACAAAAUAAAUGGCUACUAUAUCACAUGGACAUCAAGACUGCUUUCCUCCAUGGUGAUCUCAAAUAAAAAGUCUACAUUAUACAAUCUCAAGGCUUUGUAGUUGAAGGGCAAGAACAUCUAGUAUACAAACUAUACAAAGUUCUUUUUGGACUAAAACAAGCAUCAAAGGCAUGAUAUGACAAAAUCGAUUCUUUUCUUUAAACUUAAGGAUUUACAAAAGAAAAAGGUGACUAUAAUCUAUAUAUUAUUUACCAUUAAGAAAAAAUAUUACUUCUUAUUUUCUAUGUAGAUGAUUUUUUCUUCACAAGAAAUUACAUUAUAUGGAACACAUGAUUUAAAUCACAACUUGAAUCAAAAUUUGAGAUGUUAGGACUAGGAAAAAAUGAUAUGACACUCUAUCUCAAGGCUAAAAUAUUCAAAGUACCAAAAGGACUUUUUAUAACACAAUGAAAUUAUGCAUUAUAAGCUAUUCAUGACUUUGGCUUUGAAAGGUGUUAAUCUAUAUCAACUCAUGUAAUUGAAAGACUUAAGCUUACUCUUGAUAUGAAUGAAGACACUGUUGAUUUAACUUAUUAUCAAUCUAUAGUUGUUAAACUUAUAUAAUUAUAUCACUUUUGACUCGAUAUCUUAUACUUUGUUGGGAUUGUUAGUCAUUUUAUGAUGAAACUACAAAUACCACAUCUGACAAUGGCAAAAAGAACUUUAAGGUAUAUUGUGAGAGAAUUAGAUUAUAAAAUAUUCUAUCAUAUAAAUUCAUCAAUAAUACUAUAAAGCUAUAUAGAUAUAGAUUAGAUAAGAAACCUAACUGAUGGUUUUGUUUUUAAAUUAGUAGCUAGUCCAAUUACUUGGCUUUCAAAAAAAACAAGCCAUUGUUGCCCUCUCAUUUUCAAAAGCAAAAUAUAUGGACUUGUCUACAAUAUCUAAAAAAGCAACAUAGUUGAACAAACUUGCAUGUGAUUUUGCACUUCAAAUCAAAAAACCAAUUCCAAUAUAUUGUAAUAAUGAGGGAGUAUCAAAAUCGCAACAAAUCUAGAUAUCAAUCCAAGAACAAAGUAUAUAGCCACAUGCCAUUAUUUUAUAAGAAAAAAAAUGAAAACAAGAGGGAUUAAAUUAAUUUAUAUGUCCUCUCUUGAACAAAUAACUAGCAUCUUUACCAAAUCCUUGGAGCUUGGUCUAUUUGAGAAAUUCAAAUCAAAAUUGAAUAUCAUUCCUAAAGGAGAAGCACACUAACAAAACUACUUCUCUUCUCAUCUUCUCUUCUCUUUCUUAUAACAAAACUACUUCUCCUCUCAUCUUCUCUUCUCUUUCUUAUAACAAAAUUACUUCUCCUCUCAUCUUUUCUUCUCUCUUUCAUAACAAAACUACUUCUCUUCUCUUCUUCUCUUCUCUCUCUCAUAGUUAUAGGCAUCAAUUAGCACAUCCAACUUAGUAGAAAACAAAUCAUCACUUUCUCCUCUCUCUCACUUGCUACAUCACCCUCCUUAAACUCAAGUAACCAUUUUCUCCAAGCAUGAGACACCACCCUCAAUGAUUGAAGAAAAUGGAAAACCUGAUCAUCAACUCCAGCAUUGUCAACCAGUUUCGGGAUAAUCACACUCUGAAGCAGGACUUCUAAAAUUUCACACACGAACAAGGAGGCAGUUCAGAUUUCACCCACGAUCUCCCGAAAAACUACUUCAUCAGAAAAAAAAAUUCAUUUACAGUCCUCUGAAUUUCAAGCUCAAUACACACAGAUCUUUGACAGGCAUCUGCGCUCUCCAACACAAAAGGCAGGCCCACAACGACAAAUUCCACUGCCUCCAUAUAAUAAAUCCUUGAGAUGAACCGUGGACAACUAAAAACAAUCAAAAUAAAUUCUUUCACAAACUAGAGUCACAGAGUACAUGUAGUUUCUUAAGUAUCAAAAUUGAUGAUUUCGUAGUGAGGGGGGGGUGUUGGAACAUCCAUCCCUACAUCAUCGAAUGAAUAUUGUAUGGAUGACCUGAGAUCCGACAUUUGUGCCGAACACUCAGAUCUCUGUACAUAUGUAAAGCCUGCGACAGCAGUCUCGCAGUAAGCCCCUUUCUGUUUUGUUCUUCCAUUUAUUGUUCUCUCAGUAUGUUCCUCAACUUCUGCAGAAAAAACCGCAGCUCAUUUUGAAAGUCAACAUGCGAAUGGUGUAAUUUUGCUGAAUCUUGUACCCUGUGAGGAAAAAUAAUUACUAUUGUAUCAUGAGAAUUUCGUUGGUGGACACGAAAUCUUGCCAACUCAUUGUACCACGCUUAAGUUGGAUAUUUUAAUAUUUGGGCUUGGUGAUGCUUUGAUCUGGUUCUCGGCUGCAAAAUGAGACUUGAGGAUCCAAGUUACAAACCAAAGAUGAUUCUACUAAUAUCCCACAUUUGAGCACUUCCUCGGACUGCAAUUAAGUGGCCCUCAUGCAAGAACAGAAUGUCUCGGUUGGAUAAGUGUGAACAAACAAUGCUAUAUCAUUCAUCCAACACUUGAAGUCAGAUUCAGGAUCCCCAAAAAUUGCGAAAAUUCCUCUACUGUUGGCGUCCACAUUCAAAUAUGGGUGCAAAACACUCGAGUCAUUCGGGCUUCACUCAUGCCCAGUAGCUCCGCAUUAUUCAAAUGGGGUUGAUGCGAACGAAGAGGGAGGAUAGAGCACGUGAUGCUGGUGGGCCAUAUCAACUACAAGCUCCAGUUGAUUAUACUUUCCGGUUCCAUUAGAAUCCACCUUCAAAAAAACACACAAAAAUUCUUCGUGACAAAACUUGGUGUCGUUGGCAGUCAAAAAGCAUAGUCAGACACUGCAACAGUGCACGUAAUAUCAAGUACAGAAUCUAAAAAGAGAAUCUUUUAAGGUGCACUGUUUACUUGGGCAUGACAGAAUGCAGAGAGGACAAAGGAAAGGAUAAACACUUUAAAAAAAUGCAAAAUCAGUGAUAGAGCCAGUCAAGAGAACUCAACAAAAGCGGAUAAUGUCGACGCUGCGAUGUUAAAGCCGUGGUUGCAUUUCAAAACCGAAUAACACAAGAUUUCAACACGAAUUUCGCCAUGGAAAAUCGAUGGGACCAAAGUAUCUCUGAACACUGUAAAACAAAGAGCAGAUGAACCUAAAAGAAAAACGGUGGUAACAAAUCCGCGGUCAAGGAGCAUUGUGCAAAUACGGUACUGAAAUGAAACCAAUGGGUUGGUGUACUCGCAAGAAAGCAACCAAAAACACGUCAGGCGAACACCAAUACAGCACUAGAGUUGAAAACGUAACUCUACCUACGAAAAAACUAAAAACAUUCCACACAACUGCACUACUUACAUAGAAUACACUGGCAAAAAUAACCAUGACACCUGACCGAUCCAGACAUACUGAGUGAAGAAAACCUAGAAACGCAAAUCAGCGUAAGGUCAAACGAUGCGCCAUGAUGGAAAUCCCAAGAGAGACUUACAGCAACACUACAAUUUUCAUAUACAUUUCUACAAACUUACACCACUGUUCACUGAAAUACAUGAUCGGCUCCAUCUCUAACCUUCAGCCCAUUCCGCCUACACAUCCUUUUCCUAUUUCAAUCUUCACCUCUACUCCAGAAUCAUUGCUCUAACCAAGCUCCCUCCUCAGACUACCACCCUCUCUUUACCUGAUACCAGCCCCUACCUUCCCUGCUCUCCACUCCUCCCAGCUCGGAUCCACCGCGCCGCUCACCUACCCAUUUAGCUUACAUCCCCCCUUACCCCUCUCCUCCACUUCAUUAUCACAUCACACAUCUCUCCCUUCACAUCAUCCACCUCCACGUCUGCUCCGCCUCCGCACAAACACCACCGCCGCGCCAUUCAUGCACGCCUCCAACUUCCCAAAAACGACACCUCGCGCCAGCCCCCUCACACCCCUCCCCACCUCCACUACUUCCAUAACCUCACGGACUUGUCGUGACUCGCCGACGCCACCAUCCCGGUAGCCGCUGAUGACGCCAGAGCCGCUAUCAGGCCCUCGUGCGCUGGCACCGUCAUGCUUUGCUUUUCCACCAUGUUCCACAGCUCCAGUGACUGCACAAACGUACCCCUUCUUCAUCAAUCUCACUCUUCCACCCAACACACACGCCCAUUCCAUCACCCAACACCAACACACACGCCCAUUCCCCACCCCCACCAUCACCUGAUAGCAACCGAUCACUAGCAGCGACGGGUAAUUCGGAUGGAACACGCAUGAAUGGAACUUGUUCCCGUUGCAGCUCAGCUCGUGGAUGCACUCUCCUUCCGCUCCGCCCGACCCCAAGUUCCACACUCUCACCGAAUCCUCGCUCACAGACGCUACGAAGUCCCCGCUCGCAUCCCAGCACAUGGAGUGCACCGGUUUCGUAUGUCUCUGCACGAUCACACCAACACCACCGUCAACCCCGCAAACUGCACCACCCUCCCCCGAUAACCACCUCAUCCCGUCCGCCACAGACACCCUCCCCACACAACAACACCGUCCCCUUCACACCCGCAAAUCCCUGCUCCGUAACGCCACCACCAAACACCCCAACACGUACCUGCAGGGUGUGCACGCAUGUUUCUGACUCCACGUCGAAAAUUGAAACCACGUUCUCUGCGGCGGCUGCAAGCAGCCUUCCUUGCCGAGGUUGAAACCUCAUUUGCGUCAUCCCCCCCUGCGCAUCGCCCACACAACACUUGUUCAACUCGCUCCUCCCCAGCAUCCAAACCUUCCUACCCUCCUCAUUUCACCCCCACCCACACAAACACCUCCCGCACCUCACGUACCUUGAACACUCGUGUGCAUAUUCCCUGAUUCACGCUCCAGUACCGAAUCUCGCUGUCGCCGUCGCACGAACACAGAAGAUCCUGGUUCAACGGAUGGAAAUCCAACGACAUCACCGAUGUCUGAUGCCCCGUGAAAGUCCGCAGCGAGUAGUUGUGCUGCAUUCACCACAACCUACCCCCCGUCAGAUACCAAACUUCGCGUCCCCCUCUCCAACCCCUGUCUCUCCUACGCCACCCCCACCCCACCCCAACCCCAAACUGCCACUCACGCUGCACGCCCCGCACUCACAACUCACACCCAACCCCUCCAUCCCCAACCACACCCACCACCUCGCCCAACCACUCACAUUGUCGGCGUCCCACACCCGCACUGUUUUGUCGAACGACGAUGUUGCCAGCCGUGCUGCAUUUGGAUGGAACCUCACGUCCGUGAUCAGCAACGAAUGCUCCUCCAGUGAACUCUUCAGACUCAGCGUGUCCAUGUUCCACAAAACAGCCUGUCCAACCAACACCCCCGAACACGACCCUCCCCCCCCUGAGCCUCACAAUCCACCAAGCCGUCACAUACGCACCACACUUCCACCUCCCACAACCAUCUACACAUUUCCUCAUGCCGCCACUCUCCUCCCACACUAGCGGAACCACCGUCCCCCCCACAACCCCACUACCACUACACCACCCAACUCCCAUCCACCCCUCGCAGCCCCCACUCUGCCCACCAUUGUUCCAAGCGCCACCCCAACCCACAUCGCUAAACCCUUCUCACCUUCUUGUCGUGCCCUGCACUCGCCAACAACUUCCCGUCCGAUGAAAAAUGACAGCACACCACUUUGCUCGUGCUAGCCCGCAGGCACGUCACCUCGUUGAACGAGAAACCUGCCUCACCAGUCCCCACUCUGUCAAACUCUGCAACCUCGCCUACCCGCAAAUAUCUCCUUCUCCCUCUACUCCGCCAUCGCCCCGCGCAUCACACCUUUUCCUCCCAACCAGGAUUCGUUCGCAACCGACUCACCUUUGGAUACGUCCAUACUGUGUCCGGCAGACUCCUCUUGCUGCUGCCGAAUAGAGAUUCUCGUGGGUCUGCCUCCUCGUGGGACAGGACGUUCCACGUUGUCGUCCAACGACCCAUCCUCGAAGAAUGUCCCAUCUCCANNNNNNNNNNNNNNNNNNNNNNNNNNNNNNNNNNNNNNNNNNNNNNNNNNNNNNNNNNNNNNNNNNNNNNNNNNNNNNNNNNNNNNNNNNNNNNNNNNNNNNNNNNNNNNNNNNNNNNNNNNNNNNNNNNNNNNNNNNNNNNNNNNNNNNNNNNNNNNNNNNNNNNNNNNNNNNNNNNNNNNNNNNNNNNNNNNNNNNNNNNNNNNNNNNNNNNNNNNNNNNNNNNNNNNNNNNNNNNNNNNNNNNNNNNNNNNNNNNNNNNNNNNNNNNNNNNNNNNNNNNNNNNNNNNNNNNNNNNNNNNNNNNNNNNNNNNNNNNNNNNNNNNNCCGCGGGGCGUCUUCCCCAACCCACGCGCCACAAUCCCCACACUCCGUCGCUGCCACCCAUGCGACUGCCUCGGAUCCAAUCACAUUAAAUGCGCCACACACUACUCUCUUCUCCCCCCAACAACGCCCACAACUACCCCUCUACGCGGAUGCGCGGAUACCCGGAUCCCGGAUGCAAACUAACGGGUCACCAACUGGUUACCAGCUGGUUCGAUGGUGAUGCCAACGUCCCAGUCCCAUCGGCACCAUACAUCAGUAACGACUUUGAGAUGCUGCCACUAUGUUGCAAUGCUCCAGCCAUGGACAUUACGUCCCCAGCCGUGUGUGUAGAUGGGGUCGAAGGUGCCGAGUUCGGACCCGCUGUGUUCCCGGUUCCUGUACUGUUUGCAGGGCCCGAGGAUGACGCCGCCUGCUUUCUCUUUCUUGCACUCGGGGCAACCUUUGCAGCAGCCUUUUCCCCAACCCACACACAUUUUAAGGUGAGGUGCUCUUAUCUUGUCUCUCUGUGCGACGCUCAAACCUGCCCUUACAACCAAACAGUGCAAAACUACUUCAACCUCGUAUGCUAUCCCCUUUCGCCCUCACGUCAACACCCUCCCGACUCCAUCCCUCCGGCUUCAACCCUCCUCACAACUCCAUCCCCACCGCCCCACCACACGUUCCAUCAACCACUUCUGUGCCCGACCCCUCCGCUCCACUCCCGCUCCAAAUCAACCACCACCCCAUCACACAUCCACAAACACCACUCCUCCAUUCCCGACCCCAAACCACCCAUCUCAAUCCACCUCCACCUCCACCUCCAUCUCCACCUCCACCUCCACCUCCACCUCCAUCUCCACCUCCACCUCCACCUCCACACACAUCAUCCGCCACCCCCCAUCACGACCAUCCUGCUGCCUCCACCACUCCCACACCACCCGCCACAAACCCACUCGUGCGCCAUCCCCAAAUCCACCCCAUCAUCCAAAUUCCAACUUCCAUUACUUCAUUCUCAACCAUCUCAUCCAAAAGGCUUCCUCGUCCCAGGCGGCUCCUCGUCCCACGCGCAAACCCAAUCCCACCACCUCCACACCGCACCCCCACGCUAUCCCACACCACUCCCACGUCAUCUCCCCGUAUCCUUCCACGCGCGAUCAACCACUUCCCCACUUCGCCCAACACCAAAAUGCUUCAUCGUUACACCAACCGUACCUGCUUUCCCGUGCCCGUGCUGUUCGUGCUCGGACUCGGCUCCACGCCUCCGUACACAGCGUCGUUCUGUCGGAACGAGUUCGACACGUCCACGUUCACUUGCCCCGACCUAUCCUGCUGCUGCAGCGGCGUCGUCGGAUUCUGCUGUUGAUGAUUGCCACCCUGCUGCUGUUGCUGCUGCUGUUGUUGUUGCUGCUGCUGCUGCUGCUGCUGCUGCUGUUGCUGCUGAAUAUGUGCAAACUGCUUCAUUUGUUUAACAUAAACAACCAACAGACCCAACCACCUCAGCUUCCAUUCAAAACAUGCACCGCGCUGCCUACCCACACAACUCCACAUCGACGUACUCUCCACUCCUAACCAAACAACCAACACUACCAAACCACCCAUCUCAUCCAAUUCCCACCCUCUUCCACCUCCUCCUCCAUCACAUCCGCUGCCCCUCCCCUCCCACUCUGUCUCCGCUGCCCAACUCACCCCUCAACACCCCCACCAUGUCCCACCCAACACCUUCACGGCCUCAUGCUCCACCACAUUCCAAACCGUCCAAACGCCCCACCCUCCUUCAUCACACUUCACUAACAUCUCCCUCUCCCCGCAAAUCCAUCACCUUCCAUGCAACCACCAUGCCAAACACACAUCCUCUACCACCCCCCUCCAAACCAUUCCACGCCUUGCGUGCACAUCUACGAACCUUCAUCAUCAGCUCCGAUUGAUUUGGAUCCUGGGGGCCCCGUGGUAUUGAAGGACCUCCCUGCAUCGGAGAACCCACCCCACCUCCUGAUAGAUCGCUGCUUGCAUUCGAUUGCCCGUCCUUCCCCACCACGCUUCUGUUUCCCAGCAGCACGCGGAAACGCCGCGGAUCCAUCUCGUUCAACAGCGGAGAACCUGACGUUGACAUGUUGCCCUGAGCCUGGGCUUGUAACAGAAGCUGCUGCUGCUGUUGUUGCGUCAGCAUCUGAAACUGUUGAUACUGAUUCGUCCCUUGCAGGAAUGGUUUCUGCGCUUGCCCUGCUAGCCCUGGUCGAAGUUGAUCCAUGCCCUGCCAUCAACGCGCGCGCACACACACACACACACGCACGCACGCACGCGAGCGCGCGGGUAUAAACAACACAUCAUACGCAACAUAUCCAACACCUCUCCAACACGGACCCACGCACCACUGCCAUCCGCACAACUUGCUCCCAAUUUACCACCGCCCCACAAACGUUCCCAUCUCCACACCAUGCCGCCUACCCUUCACGUUCCGGACGCACCGGGAACCCACAAACACCACUUCCUCAUCACUCUCAAAUGUCUCUGGGAAGCACAUCCCGCCAAUGUGUGUGCCUCGCCAUCUCACACUUCCACUCCUGCUCAACCAACAUGCUACACCACAGUCGGUUGGAUACUCACCGGCAGUGGCCACCCUUUCAGCGAUCCUUGAUUCACACCUUGGUUUACACCUGCUGACCCUACACACUCGUUAGAACCAUCCAUCUUUCCCCAACACCACCAACACCACCAUCCUACCAACUACCCUACCUUCACACUACCCACUCCUUGUCACCAACCGCCCUCCCCACCAUCAAACGAAACCAACCUGGACUCAACAGUGCAGGUUUCGUAUGUCCAACCCCUGGCACACCAAACAUGGCCGCGUCUGGAGCUGGAGACCUUUGGUUCAGCACAUCGUUCUUGUUGUCCUACAACGCCAACCACAACCCAGUCACCAACAUGCUUCUCCAUCACUUCUCCCACACAACCCUACCUAUGCACCUGCACACUCCGCACAACCCAUACUGCGCCCAACACAUCAAUGCUCGCCCCGCUACAACAACCCAUCAACCACCACAUGCUUCACGCCCACCUGCGACGAUCCUGACAUCUGCGAUCGCGCUUGAACCUGUUGCAAAGCAGUCGUCGCGUUGCCAGCCAGCAAUGGCCUGUUCCAAACAAACCCCCAACUCACCGCAUCAACCUCUCAAUCCUGCUCUCCUCAACAUACCAUCAUCCCACCCCAACCCUCACCAAACUACCAACCACCAAACCACCCCACUCCUGUGCACUUGCAACGCCCAGCGCCCCGCAAAUCACGCGUCGCAUUCACCACCUCAACCCACCAGGUACGCCCACAUGCCAUUACCUCUGCAACCACACCACCCAACGUCCAUGCGUCGUCAGAACCCAACAACCAAUCCUUCGCUCCUUCCUGCCCACCGCGUUCCACUCAACUAAACACCCUCUGCCUCCACUACACCACAACCACACCCAUGCCUCUGCCCACACCAUCACCACACACGCGCCGCUCAAUGUUCAAACCAUCCCCUCGCCCCCAAAACCCAACACGCGCGUCUUCACUACCUUCAUGGCCGUCUCGUCCAGUGUGUCCCUCUGAUGUGGGUGCUUCAGCCGCUCUUCGUAUAUUUUCGUAGCCAUCGCAUUCGCAGUCGGCUGUCGUAGCAUCGCAUCUGCGCCCAGUCCAUUUGCCGACCCGUUCAACAAGUGCGAGCUCGCUUCUCUUCGCUGCUGUGCGUGCCGCUGUUGCAAGAUCUGGAGUUGCAUCUGCUGCAACUGCUGCUGCUGGUGUUGUUGCUGUUGUUGUGCUUGGGCUUGUUGCUGUUGGUGCUGUUGUUGAUGCUGAGCUUGCUGUUGAUGCCACUUGUUGUUGCUGCACCCUGUUGUUGCUGGACCUGCUGCUGCAGCUGCUUAACAUGCUGCUGUUGUUGUGCUUGCUGUUGCUGCACUUGUUGCUGCUGCUGCUGGGCCUGAGCCUGAGCCUGCGCCUGAGCUUGUUGUUGUUGUUGUUGCUGCUGCUGCUGCUGCUGAAGUUGCUGCUGUUGCUGCUCACGAGCCUUCAACUGUUGUGUCUGAUCACACCCAACAACACCACCCACUGUCAAAACGCACCCCACAUUACUCGUGCGACUCCCGCCUACGCCAGUCCCCUCAGCGUCCACAACACUUCGCUGUGUACCUCCCGUUCAUACAAUUACAACCCACCCUACUCACGGACACCCCGUAUCCAACCCAUCACGUACUGUCCUUACACUCCUCGCGCUCUCCCACCACCCCACAACAUUCCUUCUACCAUCGCACCUCUCUUUCCCAAACCCCUUCUGUGCGUCAACAAUUUGUCUAACCAACACCGGAGCCCAUCCCUACAGUUUCACCAUGCCACUCCAACACCACACCGUCCUCACCUCGAUGUACGAGGCUGCCACUUCCGAAUGCUUCUCAUUUGUGCGAGCAAUGAAAAUAUCCCAAAAUACUGACCACCAUUCAAAUAGAAACCCUCCAGGCGCAUCGAUGGCUGCAAAAAUUAGAACGCCAACUCCAUCGGGUCAGUCAAAUGCACCACAACACGUUGCCCAAUUCCCCAAUCGGGCUUCCUUCCCUUCACACACCAAACCCUACCACGGCUUUACGUUAUCCUCCGUGCAGCACCAAUUCCACAAACUUGCGUUGCGCUGCUAAAAACUUCCAGUCGCAACAAAAUCCCGCAUGCAUCCGUACAUUCCUUACGUAAUGCACCAACAACAGCCCCACCGACCUGUCAUACUACUCCUACUCCCUCACAACCCUCUCUUCCUGUCGGAUCCACCUAAACUACUACCUUCGCCUCUGCCUUCACCAUGGGACCGGACUUCGUGACAUUCUUGCAUCAGUAGCCCCUCAUCGACACAGCACAACCACAACAUAAACGUACCAACAGGAUCCGACGAAACCUUCCCCUCGUUCAAAAAUGCUUUGGCUGAUGCUUGCAGGUUUCUCUUUAUCAGAUAGUCGUAUAUAUACACAUCCAACCUGCACAACAAACCCACGUGGUCUGUCAUCGUUACAAGGGUUCUCCCCGCCACACACCACACCUCAGACUUCACGCUCUACCACAACGAAUCAUCCCGAUCUUCUGACCCAAACUUGACGACAUCCCUUCCACGGUGAGCCGCUCAAUGACUCCAUCAAUUGCUCCGAUCAACUUGUUCUCUGCUCCUGCGUCACCUGAACUGCUUCCAUCUUUGCUUCACGACAGUCCACUUGAUGCCCUUUCUAUUCUAGAUUUUCAAAACACGAAACUGAUAGACACCACUUAAAAAUCCCCCGCAUCAGAUCCGAAGGGCAUGUCAUGGUGAAUUUGGGCUUGUUGGCGAAAUUAUCCUGUUUUGCUACCUCUAGAGGUUCCUCCAGAAUGACUUGAUAUCGACCCCUUAGCAAAACAUAAUGCUAACUUAACCACACAUCCACCGAACGAAAACUCUUGUGAGAAUAUACGCGGUAUUAGGUUACCGAAAGGUUUUGCCUUUGAUUUGGGUUACUCGAUUAGAAACAAAACAAAUGCACGAGGGUGCUAAAACCCCAAUACCUACUUGACCGCCUCGUGUACCACCAAUGCAUCGCUGCCGAUCGGCUCCUUCUCAGAACAACGUAAAUUUCGAUUACAGCCCUAUGCAAGCACUUGUCACCAAUCUGGAGCUCAUGGAGUAACUUAGAUUUGAUUCGCAUCCGACUCAUACACACCACGUCCAGCAGAAUAGCCAAAGGCGAGGCAACAACCCUCGUUGCAACAACUUUGGUGUGAGAGAGCUUACAUUUUAUCGGCCUCCCAGUUGCUCUGCGCCAUGGGAACGCGACCGGCACCCACCACUUCACGGCCCUUCCCGAGGCCCCCCCCUGCGUCGCCCCUAACACGAAUCCCUUCCGUUUCCGAGUUCCUGUCUAAGUCGCUAGUGUUUCGUGGCCGUCAAUUUCGAUUCCGGUGAGCCUUCUUCCCCCCGUCGGAGCGGCGUAGCCCUUGCGAGAGCGCAUUCAACUCCAGGGUUUCCCUUCCCUCUCACGUGGCCGACCUUGAGCUUCGUCUGCCUGGGGCUGGUCCCUGCGGUAUUCGUAUUCGUAUGUGUACCUGUAACGUAAACGUUCGACAUGUUCUACCUAUAUGUAUUUGUAUACAUGUUGUAGUAUUCAGUACGCGCGUCAUCGUUUGCACUUGCAGAUCGUAGUUCUUGUUAACCCCUUGGUUUGUAGUUUUCCAAGGAUGAAUAAUAAAUAAACACUUUGUAGUAGUAAUAAAAUAAGAAUAUUUUUAAGAAACUACGAAGUAUAUUUUUGUGCCUCUUUGUCUACAUUUGUGUGUGUGUGGAGCCUCUUGGUAAAAAAUAGUUUGGAGUGAUAUUCUUACAUGUGGAAGCCAAAUUAUUGAAAGUAAAAAUAGAAAUCAACUUGGAUAGGUUUGAUGAAUAAGUAAAAGAACAUUAUUAAAAAAUAAAAAUAAAGUAUUGAAAGAAAAAAUGAAGCCUUGUCAAAGAAAUAGUCUGGUUCUUAUAUUCAAAAAAUGAAGUAAGUUAUUAAAUUGUUCAAAGUUGACAAUCGUUUACACUAAUGUUGCUGUUUUUGGGCUGUACUCUUUAAAAUCAUGUUAAGACUGCUUUUAUUGUUAAAAUAUCAUCAGUUUUGAUUAAUAAAAUUUGAUGAAAAAAAGAAAGCUCAGGUUUUAGCUUAUGAGAUCAACAUAAAAUUAAAGUUUCAUAUUAUACAUAUUAUAGUUACGUAAUUUCUAUUUUUGUGUUGUUUAAAUAUGGUCACCGUAUAUUAUGUAGAUAAGUAUGAACACGAAUUAUAUAAAUUAAUGUAAAUUUACUAAAAUGUGUUUCAAAUUUUAUUUAUAUAUAUAUUGCAAAAAAAAUUAUUAAUUUAUUAUCAAAAUGUAAAUUUUUAUGGUAGGAAUAGAAAUGAUAACACAAUUUAACUUGGGUUCAAACAGUAACUGAAUUUUACCAUGAAAUAGCAUAAAGAUCAACCUAUCACACUUGAAUAGGUAGAUUCUGUUGAAAGCAUUUCAAAAACCAAUAUGGAUGUGUAUACAAACGUUUAUAAACUUUUGAAGUUUUUCUAAAUUAUGCUGAUUUUUUAUUAAAAAAUAAUACAAAAAUGUAUGUCUAUAAUAAUCUACAAACGACAAAAAGUAUAUACGUAUAUAUAUAGAUAUAUACACAUAGACACAUGUACAUAAUACUAAUAUUAAAAAACAAUAUAUUUAUAGAAUAUAAUGUAUUAAAAUUUCACAAUAAAUUUUUUAGAUGAUAAAAUUUCAAAAUUCACAAAGCUUUACUUUAUCAUUAUAAAUCAAAUAUUAAAAUCUUACAAUUUUUACAGAGAUAAAAUACAAUCAAACAUGUGAAUAUAUUAAAAUGUUAAAAUUUAAUUGUAAUAAAUUUUAAUAUGAUUUAUUUUUGAAGAAAAUAAAUAAUUUACGGUAAUAUGAUAUGUUAAAUUAAAUUUCACACUAAUUUUACAUAAACAUAUAUACUUAUAUAUUUAAUAAAGGAAAUUGGUAUGUUGACCAAGGUUUCUGAAACAUUUGAUCUUGCUCAAAAAGAUUUUUAUUAAAACAUUCUACUCAAAAGGAUUAAAUUUCUCUUGUUAUUAUUGGUUUAUUUGAUGUUUUAGUAGAAACAUAUUUAUUUUAAUAUCUUAAAUAAUUUUUUAAUUAUAUAUAUAUAUAUAUAUAUAUAUAUAUCUUUAAAUUACAUUUUUUAAUUAUAUAUAUAUAUAUAUAUAUAUAUUUUUUUUUAAUUAUAUAUAUAUAUAUAUAUAUAUAUAUAUAUCUUGGUGAAAUCCUCAAUGUCAUUAUUUAGUUUGAAAACCAAUUAACAAAAUAGGUUAAUUUUCCUUACUGUUUUAAUGUCACUUGCCUUAUUGCUUCUAUAAGCCAAAAUAAAUACAAUGUACAACAUUGUUCUUUAAUAGUAUUAAAUUGUGAAGCUUUAGGGUGCAUUUUCCAACCAUACCAAAUGAUAUUACAACUCACACUUUGUUAUAUUUCCAUACAAGACCUAUAUUCUAAAUUAAAUCACUCUUUGCAAUUAUAAUAGAAAUUUAAGCUCUUGUAUGAUAGAUGAAUCCAUAAAUAGAUGUGUCGCCAUUUGGAUAAAUAAUGGAUGCACAUACACAUCUUAUUGAAGUUAACAUAUAUAAUUAUAAAAUAUUAUAAUCUUAUCUAGGUUUAAAAUAUUUUAGAUAUCUAUACAAUAAAAUUACACAUAAGAAAAGUCAUCAAAAACCAAUAUAAAAUGAUUUUUGAGAAUAUCUUUAUAAAGAUUAAGAAUUGAUUGGCACCUAAGGAUCAACAAUAUGUGGACAUACCUGAAAAUCUUAAAUACUGAAAUCCUAAAGUGAAUUUGUGAUCAUGUAAAUGAAGUUUAAGGACACCUUACAAUUGUUUUGUUUACAUCUUUAUGGUCUAACAAAGCAAUGCAACAAAUUUUGAGGCACAAACUUGUAUAUUAUAAAUAAGAAUGUGACCUUGUUCAUAACCAUUAUUUUGUAAAAUCUCCAUCCUCAAACUCUGAUUAUAUAUAUAUAUAUAUAUAUAUAUUAAAAUAGUAAAAUAGAUGUUGAAUUACAUUCUAUCUUUUCAGGAGUUGGUGACAACUUCAGAUUCCUACUAAUAAAUUGUUAGAAGUUUUCAAAACAAAUUCAAGUUCCCUUGAUUUUUUUUUUUUUUUUUUUUUUUUUUUUGAAAGCCAUUAGACUAUAAGCUACAGUAAAAAAAAAUAUUUGUGAAUAUUGAUCAAGUUUUAAUUUAAUUUAAUUUAUUUUUUUUAUUUUUUUUUUAAAAAAAAAAAACAUACAAAAAGGUGGCAACGAGGUCAUGUAAGUGCAGAGGCUUUCAGUUAGUUCGUAGUACUAAUAAAUAAAUAAAAUAAAUAAAUAAAAUAAAAUAAAAUAAAUAAACCCAAUUUUAUAAUGUGGUAGUGGCAAUGUGUACUUUUUGAUCAAAUAUUUUUUUUGAGAUUUUCAUUUUUAUUGAGUGCAUUUUGCAAGCAUAAGUUAAUGUUUGAGUAGUAAAAAAAAGAAAUUUUGCAUUGUGGAUGAUAUUAUAUGGUUUUUUAGACUAUUUUUAUUUUUAAAUAUGAAUGAUGGCCCACACAUGCAAUUUUGACAUUUUCAAAAAAUAAGUAAUUAAUAGAGUUGUAAUACUUGUAAGAAAUUAUCACACGAGUCUUUUUGAAAUCAGUGAAGAGAAUUAGUAUUUUAACUUCUAAUACAAAAAUGAAUGAAUAAUAAAUAAAGGAUGAAAUUUUCAUUCUAAUCAAAGAACAUUUGCACAAUACUAGUGACAAAUGUAUCUAUGCAACUUUUUUUAAUGUUCUGAAAAUGAAUAAAAAUAAAAACAUAAGAAUAUAAAAUUAAUGUAAUAAUUAUAAAAAUAAAAACAAAAACUAGAAGAGAUUGAAGAAAAACACAUCUAAAAAAACAUAAAAAGAAAAAAGAAAAACUCUGUACAUGAAAGAAGUUGUUAAGGAAACUAAUUUUAUCUUUACAAUAAGCAACCAUAAUGAAAAAAAUAAAAUUUAAAAAAGAUAAUAGAAUGAAAAAUAUAUACAAUAUACACUGUAGAAGUUGUUUUUGAAUACAAAAUAAAUUGAUAAAUUUAAGUACAAGAAGUCUAAGAUUUAAAAAAUGUUAUAUAUAUAUAUAUAUAUAUAUAUAUAUAUCCAUAGAAAAUCCAUAUAUCUUAACCUAAGAAUAGUUUAAAUUAGUUUAUUUUAUGUAGUUCUUAUAUAAUACAAGAGACCUUUCUUGUAUAUUCUACAUUUAUAUACAAAUAUAUAUAUAUACAAAUAUGUAUAUAUAUAUAUAUAUAUAUAUAUAUAUAUAUAUACAAAUAUGUAUAUAUAUAUAUAUAUAUAUAUAUAUAUAUCUGAAAGACCUUUCUUGUGAAUAACAUUUAUAUAUCUAAAUCUAUAUAUAAUUUUAUAUAUUUCAAUUAUAUAUAUUAUUUCUUAGAUCCUUAUAGCUUGAAUUUAAGAAUAUUUUAAAAUAUUGAUAAAAUUAAACAUAUUCUAAAUGAUAUUUAAAACGAAGAGUUGAAAGAUUAGUAGAAAUUAUCAUAGUGUUGUAUUUCUUGUCUAAUCUACAUAUUUUUACCAACAUUUCUGGUCGUAAUUUGUAAUUUAAAAUAAUGAUUCUUUAUUAUUAUUAUUAUUAUUUAUAUUAUUGUCUUUAUGAAAAAUAUGUAUAAUUUAUACUUUAUAAAAUUAAUGUGAAAAAUUUAAAGAAAUCAUUCUUUUUAUGUAAUAAAAUAUUUUUAUUAAAAUUAAUAACUCAGUAAUUAAGAAAUUAGAUAAUGAAGCAAAUAGUUAUGUUGGUAUACAUAUUGUGAGCAUCCAUACUACUCAAGUAAAUAGAAAUAAAUAUAAGUAUACAAAACUUUAUUAGGUAGAUAACAUCUUCUUUAUAAAAAAUAAUUAAAUUCUAUUAGAUGCAAGUUGGAUCUAUAGGUGUCCUUUGAUGCACUAUAGAGUUUUACAAAUGUUUUUAAGAAGUUUAUUUAAAGUUGAGAAAUUGUUAUAGAAGUGUCCUACAAUUUAGACAAUUGUCUUAAAACUGUGUAGUCUUCAACCAGCUUCAACACAAUCUUUGUCUUGCUUAUUAUAUGUGGAUGGAAGAUUGAAGCAAACCUUACUCUCAUUAAUGUCUAUCAUAUACUCCAAUCUUAAUUUAAGAUUCUUUAAAGUCUUUGUCUUUAACAAUACUCAUUCCAAAAAUAUGCCUCUUGAAUUUCUUUCUUCAUUGAUUUUUAUCCAAGUUCUAGUUCUUUUUUGAUAAAUUUUGAUAAAUUCAUAUUCUUAACAAUUUCAUGAGUAUUAUUACAUUUGUUUUAAAGAAUAAAUAUGAUAAAUUAUAUCAAAUGAUAUUUAAAUAAAAUUUUAUGUUUUUGUCAUGCAUCAAAUAAGAUUAAAUAUAAAUGAUGAUACAACCUUAGUGUUAGUACACUUAAAAAAUAAAAAAAUAAUUAAGUAAAAUAAAUAAGUAGAAAGUAUUUUUCUAGUGGCAUUUCUUACUAAUAUACAUACUAAAUAUUUUUACAUUAUGUUUUGGAGUAAGGUUGAAAAAUAUAUGAUAAAUCAGAAUCAAUUUGGAAUAAGAAGAUUGUAUUUUGCAAAUUCCAAUGUGGAUUUUUUUACUUUAGAUAACAAUAAUUUAAUAUCUUUAAGAAUUAGGAUAUUUAAAAAUAAUUGUUUAAAAAAUAUGUAUAUGAUUGAAUCCUAUUUCUAUUUAAAGAAUAAUAUUUAAAAAAUCUUAUAUAUAUAUAUAUAUAUAUACACAAUGUACCAAUUUCUUAAUCAAACAAGAAUCUAUAAAUUUUUAUAGAUUUAUCCUUGUAUAUUGGGCCUUUUUAUAUAUUACUAAUAUUAUUAUUAUUUUUUUUUUUUGUCGUUUAAUAUCUUAAACUACUCUUAGGUUGAAGUUAGAAAAAUUGUAAAAAAACAUAAUAACAACAAUAUCUAAAAGACACUCUUUUUAUACAGCAUAUCUUUUGCAAUAGUUUUUUUUAAAAAAAAAUUAAAAUAAAUAGUAGAUCUUUACUAUUCUUAGGAUUAGGUAGAUAUAUUUAUUAUUUUUCAAUUUAAAAAAUAUUUUAAAACCAUCUUACAAUAAUAAUUGUAUUAAUAUAAUUUGUAUUGUUCUAUUUUUUUUUUCAAGUCCUUAUAAUACUCUUAUUAAUUUAAAUCUAAAUAAUUUUAUAUCCUAAUUUAUACCAUUUUCACACUCAAUUACAAUUUUUUGUUUUUGUUUUACAUAUAUGUAUAUUUAUAUAUUAGACCACUUGACCUUGGAGAUGCUCACAAUCACAAAGUAAAAGUAUAUCACAACUUGAUUUUGAUUUUGAUAUAUAUAUACAUAUAUAUAUAUAUAUAUAUAUAUAUAUAUUUUUAUUGUUGCUAAUAACAUGUUAUCAAAAAACUUGCUAAUAUCACUUCAAGAUGUCUUAAACUUACAUUGCACAUCACAAUAUGCAUUAUGGAACAUUACCAUACAUAUUUGUAAAGAAUAUGCACUUUUAUCCAUUAUGGUGUGCAAUGCAAAUUUAAAGCAACUUGUUGUGACAUUAACAAAAUUUGUAAGUGCAUAUGAUGGAUGACAAAUUUUGGUGACAUUAUCCAAAGUUGUAACAGCAUGUGAUGGAUGGCAAGUUAUAAUGGCAUUAGCAAAAAUUGUGAUGACAAUUGUGAUGGUAAUGGCAGGUGUAGUGGCAAUAAUAAAAAACUGUUGUGACAUUAACAACACACUACAUGCCUAUGAAAAACGAUCACCCACAAACCAUUUAGUUAUACAAAAGUUGUAUAACUGUUGAUUGAAUAUCUUAUUCAACCUUGGGCAAAAUCAAUCACUUCACGAAAGAGAUGAGCAGGAGUUCCAACAGGAGCAGAAGCUGGCUGCUUUUUCUAUAGCUUUGCCAUGGGAGGAUGAAUGUGCUCUGUGUCUAAUGAUCCCUGACUGCUUAGGUUUCAAGUUUGGAGACGACAAUCCAGUUCUGGUUGCUACGAUCAAACAAGUUUUGCAGCGGAAGACUUUGUUCAUAAUCAUGUACAAACACUGCUUUCCUCGUUAAUUUUUUGAAAGAACUAUAUCAUUACGUAAAUCAGUAUCUCAGACCAGAGACUGGUACCAUGGUUGCUUGUGAAUCGGCAGUUCCUGCCUCCAGAGUAUCAUUAAUUUCUCAUUGCAGGGAUACCCAAGUUGGUGAUGAUGUAAAGGGGCACAAAUCAAGUGAAUGUUGCUGUAUUAACAGAUGAUCUGCACAAAUCGCUCGUGAAAAACGCUUCCUACAGUUGCGAAAUGGAUGUUACAGCUUGAGUAGUAAGAACUCUCAAGAUUGUGGGGAAGAUCUAUGAGAAGAACUUUUUAGUCUUCUCCGGUUAGACUUUCUUCUCAAAUUUUUCACCUGCAAGGGGACAUUCGUACACAAUACUAUCAAAACAAGUCUCCCAAAAGGACAGCCCCUUGAAAGUUAUGAAGCUCUGAAAUCUUCUAGGAGGUUCUCGUAAGAUUCUUUUUCUACAAGAAAUCUUACAACCCAGUACAUAACUAUGCUAAUUGAUUCAGCAACAAAUCGUAUGCUUUGAAUGAAAAACGGAUUUUCUCUUAGAUACAUGUUCAUGUAUAAAGCAGGACACAACCCAAGCAGUUGCCACGCACUUCUAAUGGGCUAAGUUGAAUCAUUAUGAAUGAAUGUACCUCCACAUUUGGACGUUUUGCGGACUUGUUAGAUUGAGCAGUAGUCAGCACACCAGGAGUAGAAUUAGACGCAAUCCUCCCCUGUUGCAACGCAGUCUCAGCUUGAGAAAGCUCACUCCGUAAUGAAGCAAUCUUCUCAUCCUUAAGUGUUAACUCCGCCUUCAAUUCCUUAACAUAUGACGUCAAUUGUCGAACUGACUGCACAUUUCACAAUCGAUCCGUUAGCAAUUAAUCUAAAGAAAAUUUUUGGCACACUCUAGACAUGAUACAAUACAUCUUGAUGCAGAAACAUAGGCUAUUAUUGACUUCAAGCGUUCUUCUAAAGCCGCACCAGCCAAUAAAUGGUUACGAAAAACUUAAGAGUAGAAACUGAGGAUGGAAAUUUUAGAGCCAGAACGUGAUGAACACACUCCUAGAAGAUCUGCAACAAAUUAUUAUCCAAACGGUUGGGGAUCAAGCACACAGAGAGUGGGAGUAUCAGGGCAGUUAAAGACCUCUCGGUUUUCAGAAGCGUUGGUUAAGAACCCAAGUCUAUGACCCGCCUUCUCACUCAUAAUGUUAGAGGCAUUGUCCCCAGCUCCCAAUCCGUCGCUAAGGAUUUCAACCUCAUAUUUGAGGUCCUUCACCAUUUUCUCCAUAUGUUGCAAAGCCUGGUGGAAGUAGAAAGAUGCAAGGAACUUAGCAUAGUCAUCUGAAAUUUGACUUCCUCGAAUGCUUUACAGAAGUCUGACGACAAACACUUGAAGGAUAAAAAGAUGUGUUGUUCAUAAUCCAGGUGAAUAAGAGAGCCAAAUGCAUCAAGCUGUUAAGCUUUAUAAUUCAAGGAAACAGCACUGUAUAUUGAUCUAAAAUGGGAUAGGAACCACCUGGUCAGCCAGCGUAGCUGUAUAACUCUCAGCCAGCUCCUGCUGAAGUUCUUUAACUAGCUCUUUAUGACUUUCCAAGUUCUGUGUCAAUUCCAAUUCCCUCUCCAUGCUUGCACGCAAUUCCUGCAAAUAUGUAAAAAGAAUAAAACCAUAAUUUUUCUAACAAUAGAUGCUGGUAUAGUAAUAAUGAAUUUAUACAGUUAAAACCUCCUUCUUCGUACUCAGUGCUAUACAACCUUUGACCCUAUACGCCUAAGUAUACAAAAACUUCAUUUGGAUACAUCUAUAGUUUACAUUAAAAGGAUAAACCUGAAGGGAUCUACAGAUAACAUUUUUGAAAACUACUAUUACUAACUUUGCAAGCUUUAAGGAAAUAUAAUUACAUUAAUCGUAUUACUAAUAAUACUAUCAACAGUAAUAGAAAUACAAUAGUGAUAACAAUCGCAGUGGUGAUAGUUAUAAUACUGUCUAAGCCACGGUGCUGCAAUUUAGGAGAGCAUUACCUGCUCAAUACGCGAAGCCAGCUUUAAAGAAUCUGCACUCCGAACCAUGUCAUCCUUAGCCUCUUGUAACAGCACGUCUCUUGAAUGCACUUCCUCCUGUAAUAUUGCCCCUUCAGCGGUGAAAGGCUCCACUCCUUCCUCUUGAUUCGCUAAACUCUGUUACAUAUACCAGCUUAUUAAGUCAAUCUCCAAACCAAUAGACAAAAUACCUGAAGUGGGGAAGUACAAGGAAUACAGACCAACAUGACACUUUUAUAAGACUCUCUUUGUCCAUAUGUAACCACCAAAAUUCAGUCCUGUUCUCCAGCUGAAUUAAUUCAGCUAAGUCUCGCAAAUUUUUUUAACUCUUUAAAAGCAAGCCAGGAAAGAACUUGAAUUUUUCAAAGAUUGAGAUUCAUACUGCUACUAGACCUCCACCAAGCAUACAAAAGAAAGCUCUUACCACUCGACAAGUAGCACAUUAGAACUGUGGCAAUAUUCAUUGCACAUGGCCUGUCUUAUUCACUU